UUUACAACACUACCCAUUACAUUUAUAUCCUCAAAGCUGUUUUGUUUACUUUGUGAAAUCCAACUAAAAAUUAAAACUAUUAUUGUACCUCACGCAUAUUGCAACUUAGCUAGUGAGAAUCACUUACUCUUGUUGAAGCCAAGGAAGAAAUAAUAUGACUCUGAUCUCAACCUUCUUAAAUUGUUUUCUUCUCUCUAACCUUGAUCUGGUCCAUCAUGUUAGAUGGGCUUGGCUUGAUGGAAUUAUUUCAUUUCGUGCUAGUUAGGUUGACCAUGUUGUUGUUAAAUAGUGAUUUAAAUUAUAUUUUGUAAUUUUGUAGUUUUGGUUUUAGGAGUCUUCAUAAACGCAUUGUGACAAUAAUUGUGAUCACAUCAGUUACAAAUUUAUGCAAUUGCGAUAAAUUGCUAACCGUAAAAUCAUUUAUUAAAUUGUUGAAUCGGUUGUCACAAAUAAGUAUAAAGAGUUACCGUAUCCACAACGACUUGAGCGAUAUUAAGUCGUUUAACUCAAACUGAUAUUGUAAGUAUAGAAAUUUUUUAGACAAAGCUUUCACUAUCAAACUAACGUUAAACAAUUGAGAAACUUGUGAGAUGAAAGUUUUGGGAUUAUAUUUUACUAUUCAACUAUGCAUGUACAAUUGAUUCAACAACACAGACUAAUCGAACUAUGAUUCUUUCACCAACAAAGUUUAGUCCCCAAUGACUAGAUUAAUAACUCAAAAUUACUAAUCACUAAUUUCUUAAAUGACUAAAGCUAAUCAAUAUAGCUCUAUUUUCCUAACAAUUAUACUCAAAAAAUGAAGAUUAAUGAUUUAUCAAAAUAGCUCUAUUCCUAGCAAUCACAAAAUUGAGAAUUAUGAGUUAUCAAUGUAGCUCUAUUCCUAGCAACUAUAUUUACAACAUGAAUAAUGUGACUUGUUAAUAUAAAUCUAUUCCUAGCAGAUAUACCAUGAACUAUUUUAUUUCAAGUUAUAGAGCAUGAAUUCCUUCACACAUUCAUAACCUAAAUAACAUACUAACAGAAUGUCAAUCUCAAGCAAGCAUUAAGCAUAAAAACAACUCAUAAGAAUCAAAAGUGUGAAAAUUAAACAUAAAUAUAAAUCAAAGUGUAUAUGUCAAGUAAAUAUUACAUCUAAUACCAACAAGGAAAAACAUUAGUUAAUGGUUCCUAGAUAAAAGGGUUGAAUAAGAUGAAUGAUGCUCUUGAGAGAAGAAUUGGGCUCCUCCAAGAUCAUAAAUUGAUCUGAGAUCAUAAACUGAAUGAAAAAGUAAUACCCCUAGUGUAGGGGUGACAAUUUGAUGGAUUUGGAUGGAUGUGAAUUAUAAUGGAUGAAUGGAAAGUCAUCCAACAAUUCAUAUAAAUCCAUAAAAUCACAUUUCUAAACUAUCAAAUCCAUCCAUAUUUAAUGGAUUUCAAUCCACCCAUUUUAUCCAUAUAUCCAUUUUAAUGGAUUAGAUGGAUGAAUAUCCAACCCAUUUCUUUAAAUUUGAACUAAAACAUUUUUUGAAGGACAAAAAUCCUUUUAAAAUUUAUUAUUUAAUAAAUCAUUUUUGAAAAUCAAUUUAAAAACAUUUUUAAAAUGUGUUUUUUAAAAAACACUUUGAAAAAAAUAUCAGUAUUUAAAUUUACUUGUGAAAGCUCUGAAAGACAACACUGUAAGUGAGAUCAAAGAUACUGUAUUGUGCAAUCAAACAUUUUUUCUUGUGCUCAAUCAUGACACAAAAUGUUAUAUUAAUCCUUAUUGAAACUUUUUGAAAGAAUAUUUUGAUAACAAAGAAUAAUAUCAUUGAAGGAAUCCUUUUGUUAGGAAUAGAGUAGUUUAUAUCACUCGUAUCAAAAUCAGUUCAUGUCGGCCGGUUCAACCGGUACACUGGUGAAUCAGUCUUAAUACCGCUACGAUACAACAUUUAUAAUGGUCAUGGAAUUAUACUGGUAAAAAUCAGUCAUUCAUUUCAAUUGAACCGUACCGGCCAUACCGGCUGGUUUCAUUUAAAAUUAUUUAUGAAAUGAAAAUGAUUUACUUUUACCAAAAUAUUUGUACGGAUGAUCAACCACACAACUACUAUAUUUUUUAUACAUCUAAAACAUGGUCUACAAUAUAUAUUUUUUAACAAGUGGUAUAAAUAAAAAUAGAAAUUGAUUUUUCAACAUUAAUAUUAGUAAUUGAGCGAGAAAUGUUGAGUUCAUUGUCUUCAUAUCACUCAACGAGAGUCUUCAAUUUUGUGCUUGUUGAGCGAGACCCUUGUUUUUUUGCUGAGAAUGUUGACUUCUUCACCUUUUCCCCAUGGAAUGAAAUGCAAAUGCACUUUUAAGGAUAAAAUUUGAUAAAUUUCACAAUAUAUGAUUUUAAACAUCAUAAAAGUGUCUAAAAUCAAUGUUAUAUAGGUAAAAUUGGCACACAUCGUAAAUGUAAUAUGACCAUAAUUUAAAACACUAUUGUCAGUACCAACCAUACAACACUCCAUAGCUUUUGCAUUUUUUGUUGUUGACUAGCCCAAUAUGCAAAAAGAAGUGAUUUUUGCAUAUACAGAAAAAACACUCAAAACCCAUCCAAUUGUAAUAUAAUUACAACCACAACAAGUUUUGGAUAUGAGACAUCACCUUUUGGCUAUAUGAUUGAAGAUACUAGUUUAGAUGUAUGGUACUCAGUUCUAUAUGAUUUAUCAUUUUUCCGUUAUUAUUAUAAGAUUUCUUUUAUAAAGAAAUUAUACAUGGUACGAGAUAGACCAAACCCGAUAAGUAUAUAUGCAAAAUAAAAAAAAACAUAUAACUAUGUUUAAAAGAAUACCACAAUUCCAUGACAAUAAUUAAUGUGGAACUUAACUCAGUUAUACUUUCCUAACUUGAUAUGUGUACUUUAUAACGAUGGAUAUAGUUAAAUGUGAGUCUGAAACAGAAAUUUUGGUACAUGUUUGAUUAAGUAAUUAUUUCAUAAGUGUGAGAAUGAGAAUCAAAGAGUCCAAUUCAAUUAUGUUGUAAAAACUUAGAUUUUAAUGACAUAAUUUAUUUAAAGAUGACGAAUACUAUCAUCAUAUAAUAAAAAUCUUUCAUGUCAAAUCAUCAAAAAGAAAUAUAGAGCAAAAAUAUACCAUAAUCUAUUCAUAGAGAAUAUGUUGAAUGAACUUAUACAUCUUUUAUCUUGUAUCUAAUUUCAUAUGCAGGGUACAACAUGUAAAAAAUUUAGGGACUUUUUGCGAGUAUCAUUUUGAAAGGGAAUAAAUGGUAAUGAAGGACUUCAUAAUCCUUUCACAAGUGUAUUUCAUGGCUCUCAAAUCUUUCAUUUCCCUUUUCCCCUCCAAAACUCAACCCAUAAACGAACCCUUAGUAUUCCAAGUUAUUAUACACAAAUAUCCUUAAUGAUUAGAAUGACUCUUAUUUCUAAUAAAUAGAUUUUAGAAUAGGAAAUGAAUUGAUGGAUCAGUUCAUUUGACUUGGGGACUAUAACCCUUAUUUAUAAGAAUUGCAUGAUCUUUUAUAAGGGGGUGACCCUUUAGAUUCACAUUAUUUCAUGAAGAGUAAUCUCCUUUGAAUUGAAACUGCUUCAUGAAAAGUAAUGCUCCUUAAUUUUCUUAUUUAUAAUUUCAAAUCACUCUAAUUUGGCUAUUUAAAACAAUGGUUGGAAAAUUUAGAGCCAAUUUCUCUCCUUCGUGUGAUGUAAAAUGGGGACUUACGGAAACGACAAGUGAAUAAAUAAAAUAGAUAAGUUGAAGAAUGACACUAAGAAUUUUUAACAUGGAAAAACCUCCUCAAAUUGAAAAGUAAACAACCACGAGACCUAGUCAAGAAAAGUCUCCAGUAUAUAAAGUAUGAUUACACUAUAUGAUCAUCUUUAUGUAUAAGAACAUAACAUUCAAUCUCACCCAAGAAUAGUGGAAUAUAAAUUAUAAAAAUAUCCAUCAAGGAAAAAGUCCAAAAUCUAUUUAACCUUUUAAUUAACUUUUGUCACAAGUGCUUCAGCUAUUUGAUAUGUUGGCACCAUUAAACUUUGAUUUUAUAUGCCUAUCAAAAAUUAGUUAAAGCAAAUAUGCCGCAUAUAUAAAACCCUUCUAACAUAUUUUAAAAAGAACAAUGUUAAUUAUACCAUUAAAUUCUACAUAAAAAGAAGCACUCACCAUUAAAAAGGGUUUCAAAAUUUCUUGAUUUAUAUUGUUUUUCUUUUCCUUAAUUACCCAAAAAUAGGGGUCCAUCCAUCUAUGUGUUGAAUUGAGCUCUAAAAAAAUUAUUAUUGUUUUAAAAAGCAAAGGGUCAUAGUACAUGUUUAGACAAAGUUAAAUAUAAAAUUUACAUUGCUUUCCUUCCCUUUUAUCAAUACUAGCGUGUUGACCGGCACUUUUGGUCACCCGCAUUCUUAUUUUUUUGUUAUAGUAUGUAUAAUCUUCAUAUUAUAUUUAGUCCAUGAAUUGAACUAAGCAAACUUGACUAUUUAAUUUAUAGCAUCAUAUGAUAUUAUAAAAAGAAUAAUAUUAUGUUUAGUCCAUUUACUUGGUGAACAAGGACAAUAUGUACUACCCAAGAAAACUUUACUAUUUAUACUUAUAUUAAUUAAGAAAAGAAGAAGAAAUGGGUGCCAUAUAUUCUUCUAAGAAAUAUAUUUAUGAUCCAUCAUAUUUAUAGAGAAUAAUAUAUGUCAUAAAAUAAUAUUUUGUUUAUUAAUAACUAAUAAUUAUUUCUAUCACUUUCAAGAAUUAUAUAUUGAUUUGAUCCAAAUGUAUAUGAUUAGUACUAUUCAAAUAACUUGGAAAGCAAGUAGAACAUGAGACAAUAAAGUUCUUUGAAAAUUCACAUGAUGGAAUCUCUUGUAGCUUUUUAAACCUUGUCCACUAGUAGGAUAUGGACAGUUAAUCCGAGAUGUUAUCUUUAACUCAAAAAUAAGAUAUACUUAAUACUUUCAUAAUUAUUGUUUCACUUGAUAUUUUCAUAAUCACGAAUGUUAUAUAUGAUAACAAUAUUGUUCUACUUGUAAUCAUUCCUUAACAUUCUCAUCCUUUUUUCUUGUAUUGUUGUUAAACCUCAUUAUCUCAUAAGCUUUAAAUAUUCUAUUAAGUCUAAAUCACUAACUAGAUCUUAAUUUAGUGAUGUAAGGUUUCACUGGAUCCUCAUAUAUUGUACUUGACCAAAAAGAUAAAUGUUUGAUUUAUUAGAGCAAUAUUCUUUGAAAGGAACAAUCACACACUCUAAAAAAGAUUAGUUAUUUAUUCGUAGGAUGAUUUGAUACUCUAAAUUAUAAAAAAAAACUCUAAAUCAUAUUCCAAGGUGACAAAAUCUACAUAUUCUCUUAAAACUUGUAUGAAUAUGGGUGUAAUGAAGGAAUAAUUUCAAUAAUGCAUUCCCCUUGUAGUUUUUAACCAUUACUUACUUUUUAACCUUGUUGCAAGGUUACUCAUAAUCCUAUGGUACUUUUGGUAUAUGCUUUAUGAUAAUCAGAAGAUAGAUUGUACUGUAACUUAUAUGAGUUAAAUCGGAAGACAAGACAAAUUACCCUACAUGUUUAUUUUCUAUUUAUAAUUUCAUAAACACUCUAACACAAGACUUUACUAUAACGGCCAAAUUACUGGUCACCGAGAAAGAAUGUAUAUAUCAGAAUAAUUAGGCGGAUAUGACAUGAAAAAUAUAUUCAACCAUCAUAAAAUAUCAAUUUAAUAUGUCAUUUUUACACACAUACAUUUUAAACGAAUAAAAUGAGCAGCCCACAUGCAUUACUGAAAAUUACCAAUUUUUAUGAUAAUUGACUUUUGUUCUUAUUAAAUCUAUUUUUGUAUUUGACAUUUAGUCCAAUAGUUUAUAUUUACGAACUUCAUAUUUUUUGUAUUUGUCUGUGAUUACAACAGUUAUCAAACCACAUACAUGAGGACGUGGAUAGUUUAGCUUUAUCAAAUGUGUUGUUUAGAAGCAUCUGUUGUACAUUUUAUAUGGCAUUUUUUUUACUUUUGUGGUUUUAGACUUUGAGAUGGUCACUUUAUGUUUGUAGUUUUUUUAAUAUAGUAUGGUCCACAAUCAUGCUAUGCUCAUGUUUAGAGCAGACUUAAUAUAAAUAUUUCAUGUUUAAUUUUAAAAUAGAUAUACUCAUAUUCGUCAUGACUAAAGUGGGAUUACCUAGGUACGGAGAAAAAGAAUAUGAUAACCUUAAUUAACAAUACUAAUAGUAAUAUGUGAUUUCUUUUAUUGCUCCCUUUUUAACCAUAUAUAUAAUGGGACCAUCAUCCCAGUUUUAAGACUAUUAGCUUUCAUUUGGUUGAGGAAGAUAGGAGAAAGAGAAGGAGAAGAGAAAGUUCUUCUUUCUCUCCUUUAGUUGAGGAGAGAAUAUAAGAGGAGAGAGUAAAAGAGAAAGUGGGACCCACCAAAAUUUGUUCUUUUCUGAUAUGAAGAUAAAAUGAGGGAGGAAGAGUGAAAGAGUAAAAUCACUCAUUUCUCUUCUUUUUCUAUACAACCAAACAACACAAGAUUUCUCUCCUUUUCUCAUAUUUUUCUCUCUUUUCAAGUUCUUUAUCUAAUAUUUCUAUCUUCUUACUUUCUUCCAUCCAACCAAAUGAAGCAUUAAAUUCAGUCUUAACAAAAUUAGAGAAAGUCUUAAUGGCAAUGUCAGCGUGAGUAUGAUUGAGUACUUUAUUUUUAAGGCGGUGACAAUUAAAUAAUGAGUAAUGCUAUAAUAUCUUACUAAUUUUCUUACCUAUAAAAAAACAAUAUAUGUCAUUUGUAUAUUAAUCAUUAAUAAAUAAAAUAUCAACUUGUCAUAUGUGUCACUUUUUUAUGGAUCAGAAGAUUUAGUAGAAGAUAUAUCAUUUUCCUUAAAUGAUCACUAUUCUCGUAAGAUAUCACUUAAUUUAUAUUAAAUUUUUAUAUAUGUUAUAGUUUAUAAAUAUAUAGGUUAUAUUAUAUAGAACACUUAGAUAUAUUACCAUAUUAUAUGUUUUUAUAUAUAUUUUAAUUUGACGAUGGCAAUGGUACUGAUAUAACACUUCGAAAAUAAAAAAACAACGUUAUACAUAUUAAUUAAAUGUAUAAAUUUUUUCUUGAUAAGUAUAUGUUUUGGAACAUAUACAUAUCCAUUAUAUCCUUCUCAAAAACAAAAAAACUUCAUGAGAUGAGAUAGAGAGAGGAAAAAGGAUUCCGUUAUGCAGGAAAGGAUUUGGAGACGAAAAGGUGGAACUAGAGAGGAGGAUUAGGGAAAGUUCAACUAUUCUCAUAGAGGGAAAGCUCCACUUGGCAAAACAAAUGGGUAUUUCAAUUAUAUGCAAAAGAACAUUAUUACUUUCUUCUUCACCAAUAUACCAGACAUUCAUGGUAUUAAUGAAAUGUGGGGUUUUUUCUCUCUCAAAAUGGGGGAAUGUAGGAGAGGUUGUUAUUCCAUUGAAGAUGGAUAGGAGGGGUAACCGUUUUUGCUUUGUCAGAUUCAAGCAUCAAGAUAGGAUUGAGGAUAUGGAGAAAGCUUUGUCUAAUUUGUGGAUAUGAAAUUUUAAAAUUACUAUCAACAUGCCUAAGUUCAGCAGAGAAGGAAAUUCGUUAGCUAACAUGAUUUCUACAAAGAACCCCUAUCCUAAUCAGAUUGUGAGGCAUCAUCAGUAGAAUCAUGUGUUACCUAUGGCUGUCCAAAAGGGUUCUUCUUGGAAGGACAUUCUUCUCACCAUUAGGGGGGCUGGGACUUCAACGGUUAGUCCCAAAUUGACAGAGCUGAAAUUCAAUGUCUCUGAAGAACAUAUGCAAUGUUGCUACGAAAUAUUUGUGGGAGUGCUUAGAAAUUGUGAGGAUGGCCAAGAUGUUAAUAAUUUAUUGGCAUAUCGUGGUGUUUUAUCCAUUAAAGCUAUUCCUAUGGGAAGUAAGUUGGUAUUUCUUAAAGGAGCAAAUGGCUUAUACAUCCAACACUAUAUCAAUAAGGAGGAAGCUUGGUGCACAAAUCUUUUUAAAGAAAUAAGAAGAUGGUCACCUAGUGAGUUAGCCAAAGAUAGGGUGGUAUGGGUGAGAUGCUUUGGAAUUCCCAUGCAUGUAUGGUCUGAGGAGUUUUUCAAGUUGAUUGUUGAUGUUGUUGGUCAAUUUAUCAAGGUGAGUGAAGGAACUAAGCAUAUGGUUAGGCUGGAUGCAGGCUUUGUGUUGCUGGCCACAGAUUCUCAUAUCAAAAUUGAUUUGGCCCAAAAUGUGAAGAUGAGAGAGACCAUGUGGGAGAUUAGAUUGACUGAAAUUGACGGUGUCUUCGAAGAAUCAUUUGUGAAGAACAAAAGCACGUCUAAGGAGGAAGAUAGUGUUACCGACUCGGUGGAAUCGGAGGAUGGAGAGACUUGGUCGGGGGUGAACUCGAGGUGGGGAGGAGAUGAUGGCUCGGAGGAUGACGACGAUGACGUGGCCGUCCUUUCAACUGGGGCCCACAUUGUUCAAAAGUUGGGCAAUGAGAGAGAUGAUGGUGACAUAUCUUCUCAUCCUCUACAGUCUAACACUAUGAAGGAUGAAGACGCUAGCCAUUUGUUCUAGGGAAUGGAAAGGUUGAAGGUUCACAUAAGGAAAAGUGCUUUGGUGGGUGUUGUGCUGAAUGAAAGAAAUGACCUUGGAUAGAGGAAUGGAGGCUCACAAUCACUACAUUUGGUAGAAGCUUUUUCUAGGGGUGAAGUGGAAGACACGAUUUUGGUAUUGGAGGAGGCUAAGGAGGGAGAGGGUCUUUUAAGUGGUGUUGGGUCUAGGGCUCCGUGUUGUACUCGAUCUAGACCAACUUCUGUUUUUGAGUAGCUGACUUUGCAGUGCAAAAAAUCCCAUCUGGGCCUUGUGGGAGAAGCCUAUACAGACACUUUAAGUGGCCAAGAAAGAGAGUUGGUUUCUCCCAAUAAAAAAGGCAAAAUAAUUCUUUGUAUUGGCAUUAGUAAUCAUGCCAACAUGGAUUCUUUUUUCUGGAUCAUUCUUUGGACAACCCCAUUGAUGUUUUGAAAAGUAAAAAGGAUGGCUUGGUAAAGGGAUUUUAUUCUAAUUUGGCUAAGGAGAAAAACAUGGCUCAUAUGUCUAGUGAGGUUCAAGGCAAAGAUGUGGAAGUUUUAAAAUCUUCCAAUUAUCUUAAAGGUAGGAAGAAAAAAAAACAACCUCUUUUUUUUUUAAUCAUUCUAUUUGUAUGCUGAAUAAAGGAGGCUUAGGGUCAAAGUAAUUUUCGAAGAAGGUUGGAAGACCUAAGAAGAAGAUAGCUAAAAAAAUUGUUGAUGACAGUGUAGCCAAUCUAGAUGGAGAUCUUAAUAUUAGCAAAAAUCUGAGUUGUUCUAAGGUGACUGUUGAGGAGGGGGAGUUGGACCCAACUAGUAGUAAUUCCAUUGGUGACUCACAUGUUCGAAGUGCUAAUCUCCUUCACUUCAUAGAAGAGGAUUUGGUGGUGGAAAAAAUAUAGGAAAUAGGGAAAAGGGUAGGGGUGUCAUUCAGUAGUGAUGAAACAAUGAUGUUGGAAAGAAUUAAAGAGAUGGAGGAAGGGAUAAGGUUGGUUUUUCAAUUACCAACCGAAUGGAGCAAAAGGGUGAUCCAUGAACUAUGCAUCUAUGAAUGUUAGGGGGUUGGAGACUAGGCUUAAGAGAAUAUUCUUAAGAAGCCUAGUAGAGAAAAAUGAUAUCCAUUUUUUGGGUAUUCAAGAAACAAAAUGGGAGAAUUGCGAAACAGACUAUUGUUAUGAGCUUUGGGGUAAUUCAGGUUGUGAGUGGGAUUUUAUCCCAUCUAUUGGAUGUCCUGGAGGAAUUUUGAGAUUUUGGGAUAAAGCUAAAUUCUCAAGAUAGAGUUCUUACAAAGGAAACAAUUUUCUUGUAGUUGAAGGUGUAUGAUUCAGUUAGCUGGGAAUUCCUUGAUUAUAUGCUUGGCCGAUUCGGUUUUUCUAAUAGAUGGAGGAUGUGGAUUAAUGCUUGUUUGGUUUCAACAUCCGUGUCUGUGCUAAUUAAUGGCCCUCCUUCUGAUCAAUUUUCUGUGCCUAAGGGUAUCAGACAUGGUGAUCCUAUGGCGCCUGUUCUCUUUAUUUUGGUGGCAGAAGGUUUUGCUGGUUUGGUUAGAAAAGCUAGAUCUAUCGAUUUAUUUGAAGGGUACAAAGUGGGGAGAUUCGAGGUGGAGACUACUGACCUUCAGUUUGCAGAUGAUACUAUUCUGGUUUUCACCCCGGAAGAGAGCAACAUUUAGUGUGUUAAGAGUAUUCUGAGAUGUUUUGAGAUGGUUUAUGGAUUGAAGGUUAAUUUUAACAAAAGCUCCUUGAUUGGUAUUAGAGUUCCUAAUGGUCUUCUUUCAACAACAUCUACUUUCUUAUUUUGUAAAAUUGGUUCUAUCCCCUUCCUUUACCUUGGAAUUCUGGUAGGAGCUAAUCCAAGUAGAUAAUCGACAUGGCAAAAUGUUAUUGAGAAGGUGUCUUCUAGAUUGGCAGGUUGGAAAAGCAAACAUAUUUUCUUUUGUGGUAGAGUGGUACUAACUAAUUAGAUGCUCACGAAUAUGCCCAUUUACAUGUUAUCGUUGUUUAAGGCCCCAAAGAAGGUUACCCGAAAGCUGUUUUCUCUUUAGAGAAAUUUUCUGUGGAGUAACAAGAGUGGUGUUAGAGGUAUUCCUUGGAUUGCUUGGUCUGAAGUUUGUAAGCCCAAAACUCUCGGCGGUUUGGGGAUUAAGGAUAUUUUCAGGUUUAAUGAUGCUCUUCUGGAAAAGUGGAGGUGGAGAAGACUGACGGAUCCUGAUGCUUUGUGGGUUAGAGUGAUCGAUUCUAAGUAUGGAAAUCUUGGGGCUUUUAAUAGUAGCCCAACGGCGUCAAGAUGGUGGAGGGAUUUGGUUAAAAUUGGAUCGCUCUUGGGUGAUGGGUCUAACUGGUUGGAGGCCAAUCUCUGGAAGGAAAUUGGCGAUGGUCUAAAUACUAGAUUUUGGCAGGAUAUUUGGUUUGGUCAGCAAAACCUUAGUGAUUCAUUUCCGAGAUUGUUCUUGCUUGCUUUGGAGAAGGAUGCCAUGGUCGCAAAUUGUGGGGCUCAGACAAAUAGGGUGUGGUCUUGGAACAUUUAGUGGAUAAGACGUUUAUUUGACUGGGCGGAGGAUCUUGUAAGGAUCUUGUAAUAUCACUUUGCAAUCCAAUAAAUCUAUUGUAUACUAAGUAAUAUUGCUCUAUAGGUUUUGAAAACUUUGAAACAAUUACUUCAAGUAACUAAGAAAUACUCUCUUUUGAAAGUUUAAGAACUGAGUGCAAAAGUACAGAAAAAUAGUAAGAGAAUUUUUCAGAAUCGUGUGAGAGUUGUAUGAAAGUUGUGUAUGUGAUUAUGAGUUUCAAUGCCUUUAUAUAUGCUUUCCAACCGGCCAAAAUGCCUCUUUGAAAGGGUAGGAAUUGAUUGGAAUGAAACCAUGUCUUUUGGGUCGAAACUCAUUCACUUUGAAUUUGAAAAUCUGAUGCAACAACACUCAGUAACAGGUUACAACAUUGAGUAAUCGGUUACCCAACUGUUCUGUCCAACAGUGAAUUUAAAAUUCACUUUGAGUAAUCGGUUACUCAAGAACUUUGAAACUAGAGUAAUCUAUUACUCGAAGUUCAGUAAUGGAUUACUCAGAUCAAUUUUGUUGGGUAACUGGUUUAUCACUCAUGUAACCUUUUACUCAGAUUUCAGUAACUUGUUACACAUUAUUUUGAAAAUUGUUUUAUUUAAACUUUAAGUGUUUCAAUUUUUUUUCCAAUUAUUUUGAGCAAUACUACUAUUAUAUAUUCAAGAGUAUAUGAUAGAAGUAUCUAUUUAGACUUAGACUAAAUAUUUUGAAUAUCUUGAAGCUUAAAUCUUCAUUAUCUUCAUAAGUAUUCUUCAUUUUCUUCUUUUUGGUGAUGUUGAUGUCUUCAUUGAAAUCAUGUCAAGGUCAGGAGCAGAGAUCUUUACAAUAUUUGUCACCUAUAAAACAUGGUUAGGGCUUUGGAUGAGAAGUUAAUGAAAUGACAAUUUCUGGACAUGUGAGUUGGAAGAUAAAAAUCACACUAUUAUGAUGUUUGUUAUGGGAUUUAUAAUAAAAGGAAUAGGAUAAGAUAGUUGUUUAUGUAGAUUUAAUUAAUUAAAUAGUCAAUAUUACAUUAAUAUUUCUAGAAUGUUCUAAUGUUGUAAGAUGAUGAUACUUGUAGGGUCAUCACCAGAUCUUCAUUCUCUUUAAAUAUGUUAUUGUUCAUCCAUAAUCAAUCAAUGAAAUAUGAUCAUUUUCUUCUAGUAUUAUUUUUUUCUUAGGAGUAGAGUAAUUAAUAGAUAAAUUCCUUGAUAGGAGGAAUUUGUUCCCUAUCACACACCUAAAAAUGUUGCGGGACCAAAAUUGCACUCUUAGCCUUAAAUAAAUUGUGUUUGAGACCAUAUUAGUCGACAUAAACCUAUGCAUUCUCAUCAUAUUUAAUUUCUAAAUCAAACCACGUUAAUUUUAAUAAAAUUAAACCAAAUCAUUACACAUUAAAGCAAAUCAUAUGCAAGUGUGAAAUCAGAUUAAUGCAAAUUUACAAAUGCACUCCAUGCCUUUCUACCUGCAUUAAUAUUGCUUCUAUAUUUCUGUAACCUAUUUAAAGAAGAAUGUAUGUAACAAACUCAGAAAACAACAUAUUUUAAGAAAAUGGGUGUGAUAAUUUUGAUUGUAGGGUGUGUGGUCGGUUUGAUAAUCUUUUAUGUGAUUGUUUAUCUAGCUCUACGAGGGGGAUGAGGAUGAGGAAGAGGAUAGGAUGAGGAUGAGGAUGAGGGUGAGGACGAAGAUGAGGCUUAGUCUGACUCGUAUUUUAGGUAUUUCUUUUAUCACUUUGUCCUUAUGGGUGUUUUUAGUUUGAUGUAAUAUUUUUGGUAUUUUUUGCACAACAAUUUGAGCCUAUUUUGCAUUGAUUUGAAGCAUUAGACAAAUGUUUUAAAUUGUGGUCCACAUGAUAUGGUUGCAAUAUUAUUGUUGUGGUGACUGCCGUAAUUAUAUUAUAUGCAAUUACAUUGUGAUACCAGAUCACAAUGAUGCGAUUAUAAUGGACAACAUCACACUACAUUUGAGCCACAUCAGAUUGCAAUACAAUUACAUCGAACUGUAUCAAAUCAUAUUGAUACCAAAAAUAUUAAUUUAUUCACAAAAUAAUUUGCACUGCAAAAGCUGCAAUCCGUAUCAUAAUGACCUCAAUAGUUAUAAUCACAGUGAUUGUAAUCACAACCGCAACUACAAUUAAAAACAAAGAAAUAAACUCUUCAAAUGCAAGUGACAUAGAAUGCCAAAUAGGGAAAGAAGAAAUGAAAACCCAAAUGACCAAGGUAUNNNNNNNNNNNNNNNNNNNNNNNNNNNNNNNNNNNNNNNNNNNNNNNNNNNNNNNNNNNNNNNNNNNNNNNNNNNNNNNNNNNNNNNNNNNNNNNNNNNNUUACAAUAGGCUAGUUAAUUAUAUAGUUCGAACGAACGUAAGAAUAUUCUAUAAUAAAAAAGAACUAUUCUAUUAUCUAUAUCUAUAAUUCUAUACUAUUUAUAAAGCCAAAAUAUGGUGUAAAUUCCACCAUGGUGUAAUUUUCAUUUCCUAUUUUGCCCUUUAUAUUAUUUAAUUUUUACAAAAAACCAUAUAAUCCUAAUUAACCACCACCAACACAUUAAUUAACCACAUUUCUCACCUUAAACUAAAUAUUAUCAUAAACACAUAAAAAUUAUAAUAUAAAGUACACUGAAUACAAAAAAUAAAGUCUAAUUAGAAAAAAUAAAAUAUAUAAAAAUUAAAUACGUAGUAUCAUACAAUAUUGACUGGCUAGCACGAAGUGCCUGUACAUAUUAGUAUAUAUAAUUGAUUAACUUUACGAUAAAGAAGGUAAGAACUGUUGUUAUUGUGAGAAAUCAAAAUAAUUAAUAUAAAUUAUUGUAUCUUAUUUGAAGGGUAAAGAUUAAAAGAAAUGGUCAUAUAACUAAUAACGAGUUUUUAAUCUUAAUCACCCAUAUUAUACUCUUAGUGAUUAACUAGUUAAUUUCCUUGAUAUUCUAAUUAUCUAACUUCUAGAAAAUUCCAUAACAGAAUGAUAGAAAAAAAAAGGUUGAAGAUGAGAAUAUAGUAUCACUUUAUAUAUUAUGUUAAGUAUAUAUACACACCGAAAAAAAAGUAUACAUAUACACGGCCGCAAAGUAUAGAGUUAGUUUAGAAGUUUGAUUUUGGAGAGGAAGGAAGAGAAAAAGAAGACUUGGGAGCCAUGAAAUACACUUGUGAGAAGAUAUAUAAAGAAUGUUUUGACUUUGUUAUUUUAUAAAAUUAUAGAAGAAAUGAGAGCACAUCUCCUCUCACACAAAGUAAGUCACUCUAUGUAUCAUAAAUUAUGAUUGACCAGAAAAUAUUGAAUAGUUGAAAUUUUAACAGAUACAUUUUUCAACUUAUCACAAUUAAUGAUACAUGUGGUGACACAAUUUAUGAGACAAUGUCUGAUUACUGGGAUAUAUGUAAUUAUAUGUUAUCUACUAAACAAAAUUCUCAUAGUGAUGAUGGAAUUCAAACUAACAAUUUUAUUGACCAACUUUCAUUAUGUAAAAUAUGGGGAAUAUUGAAGACAUUGGUUAACAAGGAGAGAAAGAAAAGAAAUGGCGAAAUUUAUGAGAAAUGUUAUAAUCUCAUAAUUAAAGGGAUUGUGCUCAACUACUAUGUUUCUUUAUCAUGUUUGUAGAUUUUAGGGAUAUUAAUUAUAGGAAAUUCUUAUUCUUUGUUUCUUUAUCAUGUUUGUAGAAUUUAGGGAUAUUAACUAUAGGAAAUUCCUAUUCUUUAUUUCCUUUUAUAUUUAUCAACUCCUGCUUAUAUAUUGUACCUUUAACUCAUGAAUAAAAUUAAGAGAUGAAAUAAUAUCUCCAUACUCAACUCAUAUGGUAUAACAAGCCAAUUCUUCCCCUUUAGGUGAAAGCUCCUCAAUACUUCCUUAUGGAUGACACUGACACCUCUAUUACCCCUAGAAAUACUGAUAACCUAAAAAAAGCCAUCCUUCAUUGUUCCACCCCACAUCAAUGAUCUUGACCGUUCCAUCAAAAUAAUCAAACAUAAUUAAAUUGGUUAAAUUUAAGGGAUUAGUUUUAGUCACUCAUGUGAAGAAGAUCUUUGCUCCCAACCCUGGCACAGUUUUGAUGAAGACACAAACAUCACCAAAAAGAAGAAAAUGAAUAAUACUUAUGAAGGCAAAGAAGAUUAAAGUUUUAAGGUGAUUAGAUUAAGUCUCUAUAGGUACUUCUAUCCUAAAACUCUUAAAUAUACAAAGUAGUAAUGCUCAAACUAUUUUUAAAGAAAGUUGAAACACUUUAAAAUACUUAAAACAAUUUUCAAAAAUAGUGUGUAACGAGCUACUUCAUCUAAGUAACCGGUUACUUGUGUGAGAAAAUAGUUAUCCAACUUAAAACUAUUGUUACUUCAUCUAAGUAACAGGUUACGUGUGUGAGAAAAGAGUUAUCCAACUUAAAUCUGUUCAGAGUAAUCCAUUAUUGUCUUUGAGUAACAGAUUACCAUUUUUGAAAAGUUGAGUAACCGAUUACCCAGAUUGCUGUAAUCGAUUACUCUAAUUCGAUUUUAAAUGAACAGUGGACAGAGAGUUUAGGUAAUCGAUUACCCACUGUCAGUAAUCGAUUACUGAGAGAUGUUGCAUCAGAUUUCAGAUUUCAAAAUGAAAUGUUCUCACUCCAAACGAAAUUCUUCACUUCAAACAACUCCUACACUUUCAGAAAGGCACCAUGGGUGUUUGGAAAGUCUAUAUAAAGGCUCUAACUCUCACAACACAAACAAUACAAUAACACACAACUCUUAUACAAUUUCUCUACACUUUUUGCAAUUAGUCCUUAACUUUCAAAGAUGUUUUUCUGAAGUUGCUUAGAAGUGUUUCAAAGUUUUCCAAAAAGCAUUAUUACUUGGUAUACAUAAAGAGUUGAUUGGAUUGCAAGUUAUACUACUUUCAUACUUGUAAAGGCAAUCUGUCAUUGUUGUACAUUCUUCAAUAUUGUUGCAGAAUACUUUCUUUCACGAGGUGUGAAAAGAAAGGGGAUUAGAAUCACUUGGAAAGGUGUUUUCCAUGAGUGAAUAAGGAUUAGGGAGUGUGUAUGGUACAUAGAAAUAUCGGGGUGAGAUAUUGUAAUUACAACUCAUAAUUCUUAGUGAGAAGAAAUCUCUUGUGCUGCAAGAGUACUGGACGUAGCCUUCGGUGGACUAGAAGGUGAACCAGUAUAAGAAUCGUUGUAUAUUCUCUUCUCCCUUAUCUCUUUCAUUUUAUCUUGAUUAUUUUUCUGCAUAUAUUUUCCACUGGACGUUAACUCUUGAUUUUGCAGAAAAAGUGGUCAAAAUUUUUAAGUCAACUAAUUACCCCCUCUUAGUUGCAACCUCGUUCUUACAAUUGACACCAGAGCUAUAUUUGAGUAAGAUAUUCUCAAGUCUGAUCCUUUAUCAAGAUGGCCUCAAGAUCAUUCAUAGGAGAAUGUUCCAACAUCAACCGACCUCCAAGCUUUGUUGGAGAGUGCUAUGAUUUCUGGAAAAUUAGAAUGAGGAUCUUUAUUCUCAAGACUUGGACAAAUGGAAUGCCAUUGAAGAAUGACCAUAUAUACCCUUUACUGUUAUCAACAGUAUAAGGGAAAUAAAGCCAAAAUCUUAAUGGAAUGAUGAAGACAAAAAGAAGGUGCAAUAUGAUUUAAUGGCAAAGAACAUCCUCACCUCCGCAUUUGGUAUUGAUGAAUUCUUUAGAAUAUCAAAUUGUAAGUCUGCAAAAGAAAUGUGGGAUACUCUAGAGACCACACACGAAGGAACAGAGGAAGUAAAAAGUUCGAGACUCAACACUCUUUCCUAGGAAUACGAAAUGUUUCGUAUGAAGCCUGGAGAGAAAAUUCUUGAUUUACAAAAGAGGUUUACUCACCUUACCAAUCACCUUAUUGCACUUGGCAAAGUUCUAUCAAAUAGUGACUUAAACUUGAAAUUUCUUAGAUCACUCACCAGAACAUGGCAACCAAAGGUAACUACAAUUUCUGAAAAGAAAAGUUUAUCCAAAAUGUCUUUGGCUGCUUUGUUUGGAAAACUGCAGGAACAUGAACAAGAACUUAGCCAACUUGACCAAUAUGAGGAGCAAGAAAAGAAGAUGAAGAAUAUUUCUCUAAAAGCAAAAGUGGAUAGAUAUGACUCAUCUAGAGAUGAAUCAAAAAAAGAUGAUACGGAAGAUAUGAGUCUCUUCGUGAAGAACAAUGACGCCUCAACCUCAAAUCAAAAUUUUACAUGUUUUGAAUGUGGCAAACCUGGUCACAUGAAGAUGGACUGUCCAAAUUUCAAAAAGAGUUCUUUCAAAGGAAAAAAUGACAUAAAGACUGGACGAAGAUCAUACAUUACUUGGGAAGACAAUGAUAUCGGUUCUGCAUCUGAAACAGAAAAUGAAGAGCAAACACAUCUAUCACUUAUGGCAUCUCAUCAUUCUUAUGAUGAAGAGGUAAACAACUCUAAUCUAUUUUCUUCUUAUUCUGAUGAUGAAGAGGUAAACGACUCUAAUCUAUUUUCUUCUUCUGAACUUCAAUCUGCAUUUAAUGACUUGCAUGAUGAAUAUGUCAAAUUAAAAAAAAAUGUUUCUAAAACAAAAGUGUGAGUUAGAUACAUUUAGAAACAAACCUUCAUCAUCCUCUUGUUAAAACUGCAUCACUCUUGAAAACAAAGUAUCAACAUUAUGUAUUGAACUUAAUAAGCUAAACAAGCAUGGUAAAAGUUUAGAAAAGAUUAUUAUUAAUGAUCAAAAACACUCAACAUACCACAUAGGUCUUGGCUAUUCAAAAAACCAUGUUUUUAAGAAACCAAGUGUCCAAAAGAGAAUAAUCUUUCAAAAGAAAAGUAUCCAUGCAUUUGAAAAAUCUCGGAUACACAUUCAUCAACCCAUAUGCACAUACUAUAAAAUUCAUGGGCAUACACCGAACACAUGUAUGAUUAGAAAAUAUGGUGUACCCUUAGGAAAAUUUAGAUGGGUGGAGGAAGGUUCUAACCACCUAGGAUCCAAAGAAUAUUGGAUACCUAACAAAACUUAAUUUGUUUUGUAGGAAAAAUUGAGAGCCGCCUGCAAUUUAUGGUACUUGGAUAGCAGCUGCUCAAAACACAUGAAGGGCGAUAAAAGUAAAUUAUUUGUCCUGACUUCAAGGGACAAAGGAUAUGUCACAUAUGGUGAUAACAACAAAGGCAAAAAUUAUUGGAGUUGGUAGAAUUGGAAAGCCACCAUCAACAACUAUAGAAGGUGUACUAUAUGUUGAAGGACUCAAGCACAACCUUCUAAGCAUAAGUCAAUUAUGCGACAAAAGAUUUCAUGUGGCGUUCUACCCAAAUAAGUGCAUCAUUGAAAGUAAGGAUUAUAAUAAUUCUAAACUUAUUGGUAAGAGAAUAAAUAAUAUCUAUAUGAUUGAGAUGGAUUCUGCUUUACCUAUAACAUGUUUAGUAGCUAAUGAUAAUCAUGAUGCAUGGCUUUGGCAUAGAAGAAUUGCUCAUAUUCACAUGGAACAUUUGAAUAAACUCAUUAAGAAAGAUUUAGUUGUUGGUUUACUCAAAAGGAAGUUUGUUAAAAACAAACUAUGUAGUGCUUGUCAAAUGGGUAAACAAACAAAAACCUCUUUCAAACCAAAGCACAUGGUUUCUUCUGAUAGACCAUUACAAUUACUUCAUAUGGAUUUAUUUGGUCCCUCAAGGACAAAACAUUUUGGUGGUAAUUAUUAUGCUCUUGGUAUAGUGGACGAUUUUUCUAGAUAUACUUGGACUCUAUUCUUAGUUCAUAAGAAUGAGGUAUUCAAAGCCUUUAUCAUUUAUGCUAAAAGAGUUCAGAAUGAGAAAUCUCUAAAAAUUGUUGUUAUACAAAGUGAUCACGGGGAAGAAUUUCAAAACUCUUCUUUUGAGGAAUUCUGUGAUGAUCUUGGGAUCAACCACAAUUUGUCUGCUCCUAGAACACCUCAACAAAAUGGUGUUGUAGAGANNNNNNNNNNNNNNNNNNNNNNNNNNNNNNNNNNNNNNNNNNNNNNNNNNNNNNNNNNNNNNNNNNNNNNNNNNNNNNNNNNNNNNNNNNNNNNNNNNNNAUGUGAUAUCUUGUGAUGAAGACGACUUGCCAAGUUCCCUUGCUAAAGAAAAUUCUAUUGUUGAUAUUACAACUGAACCUGAAGAAUUGAGAAUGGAUGAUAAUCUAUCUUCUCGAGAAGAGCAUAUUCACUCAAAUCUACCAAAAGAAUGGAGAACUCAUCGAAAUCAUCCUAUUGACAACAUCAUCAAUGAUAUAAGUAAAGGUAUAGCUACUCAUAGAAUGCUUGAUGCUUAUCUAAACAUGGCCUUCGUCUCUCAAAAUUUAAAAAGGGUUUCAAAAUUUAUUGAUUUUUAUUGUUUGUUUUCCUUAAUUACCCAAAAAUAGGGGUCCAUCCAUCUAUGUAUUGAAUUGAGCUCUAAAAAAAUUAUUAUUGUUUUAAAAGGCAAAGGGUCAUAGUACAUGUUUAGACAAAGUUAAAUAUAAAAUUUACAUUGCUUUCCUUCCCUUAUUAGUAAUAUAAUAUAAUUGCGAUCACAAUGCACUAAAUUCCAAAUACAACAUAUUACAUGAUAUCUUCUUUAUUUGUCAACUUGUGCUACACAUCAAACUUGUUAAUCUAGGCACAACCUGAUCCUGAUUAUUUGUCAUCUUGGUCCUUGCUUUAAGGCUUCAAUCUCUACUAAAUGAAGCAUAGCUUAGUUAGCACUAAUGAAGCAUAGUAGAUGCAAAUUAUUACCCAUUACAAGCGUGCGGGAUUAGAGUUAAUAGGGAAAUAAGAAACCACAAUUGGUGCCCCCUUUGAUUUUGAUUUGCUCUUUGGUUUCUCUAAAGAUUGUGAUUUCAAUUGAGAUCCUUGUGAGUCUAUGACUUGGGAUGAUGAGGAUAAGGAGGGAGCAAAACAAUUGAAGAAGAAUGACAAUAGAGACUUUUGGUAUAUUGACUUUUUCUUCUUCUUCUUUAUAGGGGUUAUUAAUUGUGGUAUGAGUUACUUAAGGAAAAAGAAGAAAUGAUUGUAAUGAAAACAAAGGCAAUAGUGUGUGGUGAACUUAGACUUUGAAGUAGGGAUUAUAUUUGUAAGUGAACAAAACUGAAAUGAUAGAGUUGUAAUGGCGGCUUGUGUUGUUAAUGAAUUGAACUAAGCAAACUUGACUAUUUAAUUUAUAGCAUUAUACGAUAUUAUAAAAAGAAUAAUAUUAUGUUUAGUCCAUUUACUUGGUGAACAAGGACAAUAUGUACUACCCAAGAAAACUUUACUAUUUAUACUUAUAUUAAUUAAGAAAAGAANNNNNNNNNNNNNNNNNNNNNNNNNNNNNNNNNNNNNNNNNNNNNNNNNNNNNNNNNNNNNNNNNNNNNNNNNNNNNNNNNNNNNNNNNNNNNNNNNNNNUGUUUAUUGUUACUUGUUUAUAUUCAAUUCAAUUCAAAACCAUCAAAAUAUGUUUAAACCAUUAUUUGUGCGUUGACAUGUUUACCUGAUUUAUUUUAUUAGGCAAUUCCUUGUGGUUCGACAUAACCGUAUACUAUACUACAAUUGAAUCUUGAAAGAGGUGUAAAUUGUAAAAUAGUAAAGUGUUAUCAAUAAAUUUAUUUGUUGAAAACACCUUUUAAUAUACAAAAGUGAUGAAACUAACUUACUAACUUUUAUUUGUUGUAAUUUACUUUCCGCAUUUUAUUUAUUCUUUAAUACCAACAUUCCUUAAGGAAGAAGUUUGGUUUGUUAAUAAAAUGAACCUGAAAGGGUGUAAAUAAAUAAAGGUCACUAAACUUAUUAUUCUUUUGUUCUUUAUAUAUUUAUUUAUAUCUAACAAAUAAUUACUCAUCACUUUUAUAUAUUAGAAUACCAUUAAACAUGUGUUGAAAUUUAUUCCACAAAACCUAGAUGGUACUCAAAGAUACUUAAUAAUUAUGUAAUAGGUAAUUGCUUCAAUACCAUUAUACUGGCGUUAGAGUUUAUUCCAACAAAGCCGAGAUGGAGCAAAGAAGGAAUGACUUAUUUACCUGAUUAUAGAAGAAGUAAGUUGUAAUUGGAAUAUUCUUGAAACCAUUAUACCGGUGUUGGAAUUUAUUUCAACAAAGCCGAGAUGACGAACAAAGAAUAAAACCGAGUUCUCUUACUUAAUUAAACAAAAUGAACAUAACGAAAAUGAGAGUACUAAACUUUCAAAAAAUUGGCACUGCUGUUAGGACGAUUUGUUGAGAGGAGAAAACUCCCAAUAAAACACCAAGAAACCGGCUUUCAACAAAUUGGCGUCGUUGCCGGGGAAUUGCUUUAAUAAUAAAACAUUUCAUAUUUAUAUGACAUUAAUCAAAUAAUUGUGCAUAAACUUAUUUUUCUUUCGUACAAAUUAUUUAUUUUUGACUUUGUACAAAAAUGUUAAUUAUUAAAUAUAUAUUUUUUAAUUUCUGCAAAGAUGUACAUUAUGAUUUCUUUACAUACUAAUCUCCUUUCUUUUUGGAAAUAGACAAAAUGAUUCAUUUUGAUCUCAAAUUUUCAGAUAUGGACCAACAUGUUGAUCUGCAACAAGAAGUUGAGCAAUUCAUCAGAGAAUUUCAAUCCAAGCUCAAUAUGGUCCAUCAAAAAAUUCAAGAUCUUCCUGAACAAAUAAAGCAAACCAACAGAGCAAGUUCUUGGUGCAAUAUUUGUGCAAACAAUNNNNNNNNNNNNNNNNNNNNNNNNNNNNNNNNNNNNNNNNNNNNNNNNNNNNNNNNNNNNNNNNNNNNNNNNNNNNNNNNNNNNNNNNNNNNNNNNNNNNAAUCAAAAUGUCUAUGCUUUCCAAUCAACUCCCACUUAUCUUGACGAAUUGGAGAAAAUUCUUGACCAAUUCAUACAAACCACUAUCAACCAUCAACAAAACACCAAGGAUGCUCUCAUAAAAAUAGAAGAACAAAUCAAGAGCUUAACAAAAACUUAUCUUGUCAAGUCAGAAUUUUGUGAAAGUGUUACAACUCGAAGUGGAAAGAUAGUUGGUGGAGUUGAAAAACAAAAAGGAAGAUUAGAUGAAAAAAAUAAUAAAGAAGAAAAAGAAAAUAAAAAAUAAGGAAAAGAAAAAGAGACUAGUGAGGUAAGAAAAGAAGAAAAUUCAUACUCACUAGUACAGAAAAAAUACCCUACCCAAUAGCUCCGUUAAAAGCCAAAAGAGAAGAACAGUUCACAAGAUUCAUGGAAAUAUUCAAAACUCUGCAAAUCAACAUCCCUUUUGCUAAGGCCUUGGAGAAAAUGCCAAUUUACUCCAAGUUCAUGAAAGAACUGCUAUCCAAAAAACGGAGUUAUCAAGAAAAAGAAAUUGUUUCACUCAAUGCCACUUGUAGUGCGAUUCUUCAAACAAACAUUCCUCACAAAUCUAAAGAUCCAGGCAAUGUGACCAUUCUAGUUACUAUUGGAAAUGUGUCCGUAGGCAAAGCUCUUGUCGAUCUUGGAGCCAACGUAAGCUUGAUGCCACUGUCCAUGAUGAAAAGAAUUGGAGGAAUUCAAUUAAAGCCUACAAGGAUGUCCUUGCAACUAGCAGAUGGAUCCAUAAAAUAUCCUGAAGGAGUUGCAGAGGAUGUUAUGGUCAAAGUGGACAAAUUCUUGAUUCCGGUUGAUUUUGUUGUCAUUGACAGAAUUGAAGAUACGGAGAUCCCGCUCAGUUUAGGGAGACCCUUUAUGAGGACAACAAAAAUGGGGAUCGACAUGGAAAUGACAAAUUAUUAGUCCAAGUUGCGGACGAUGAAAUCGAAUUUGACAUUUUCCAUACAAUGCAUCAUCCGAAGGAUAAAGGGCAAUGUCUACAACUAGAUGCUAUUGAAGAAAUUUGUGCAGAGCACCCUCAACUUGACAAAUCCUCGGAGAUACAAGAAUAUAGAGUGGAAGAAGAAAUCAUCAGACAUUUUUAUGAUGAAUUAUUCCUCCACCAAAAUCCAAGUGGACCAGCCGAAAAAGAAUCAGAACUGGAACUGGAGGAAUUGCCAUCCCAUUUGAAAUAUGUUUUCUUAAAUGGGGAAACCAACAAUCCAGUUAUCAUUAAUAGUGAGUUGUCCAAAUUGGAAGAGGAAAAACUUAUACAAAUCUUGAAAAAGCAUCAAGCAACAUUGGGAUGGACCUUAAAAGAUCUCAAAGGCAUCAGUCCAUCAUAUUGCAUGCAUAAAAUCAUGAUGGAAGAUGAUUACAAACCACAUGCUCAACCACAAAGAAGACUUAAUCCGACAAUGAAGGAAGUAGUAAGGAAAGAGAUUGUAAAAAUGUUAGAGACUAGCAUGAUUUACCCCAUUUUAGAUAGAAAAUGUGUAAGUCUAGUCCAGGUGGUGCCGAAAAAAGGAGGGAUGAUGGUGAUCCGAAAUGAAAACAAUGAACUCAUUCAGACCAGAGAUGUUACUGGUUGGAGAGUUUGCAUUAAUUACCGCAAACUCAACACCCCCACAAGAAAAGACCAUUUUCCUCUACCCUUCAUGGAUCAAAUGUUGGAAAGAUUAGCUGGAAAAGCCUUCUACUAUUUCCUGAAUGGGUAUUCCGGAUACCAUCAAAUUGAUGUGGAUCCAUUGGACCAAGAAAAGACAGCAUUUACAUGUCCAUUUGGUGUUUUUGCAUAUAGAAAAAUGCCAUUUGGACUAUGUAAUGCUCCUACAACUUUUCAAAGAUGCAUGUUGGCUAUCUUCGCUGAUUUAGUGGAGAAAUGCAUCGAGGUCUUCAUGGACGAUUUUUCUGUAUUUGGAGACUCUUUCGACAAUUGCUUAACAAAUUUGGAGACAGUUUUGGCAAGAUGCGAGCAGGCUAAUUUGGUUCUGAAUUGGGAAAAAUGUCAUUUCAUGGUCACUGAAGGAGUUGCACUUGGGCAUAAAAUUUCAACUAAAAGAUUAGAAGUUGAUAAAGCUAAAAUAGAAGUGAUCGAAAGCUACCUCCUCCAACAAAUGUUAAAGGAAUCAGAAGCUUUCUCGGACAUGUUGGGUUUUGUCGUAGAUUUAUCAAAGUAGAUUUAUCAAGGACUUCUCCAAAAUAGCUAAGCCUUUAUGCAAAUUACUCUUAAAAGAUUUUGUCUUUAAUUUUGAUAAUUCCUGUUUAGAAGCAUUUAAACAAUUAAAAUUAUGCUUGGUAACUGCUCAUGUCAUUACUUCACCUAACUGGAAAUCCCCAUUUGAACUAAUGUGUGAUGCAAGCGAUUAUGCAGUUGGUGCAGUUCUAGGACAGAGAAGAGAACGUGUAUUUCAUUCAAUACAAUAUGCUAGCAAAGUGCUAAAUGAAGCACAAAUUAAUUACGCUACAACUGAAAAAGAACUGCUAGCAAUAGUAUUUGCAUUGGAAAAAUUUAGAAGUUAUUUGAUUGGGGCAAAAACAAUUGUUUAUACUGUUCAUGUCUCAAUCAAAUAUCUUCUAAAGAAACCCGAUUCCAAGCCACGAUUAAUUAGAUGGGUGUUACUUUUGUAGGAAUUUGAUUUAGAAAUGUAUUAGGCUGUAAUACAAUUGCAUUGAACUGUAUCAGACCAUAUUGAUAUCAAAAAUAUUAUUUUAUUCACACAAAAAUUCGCACUGCAAAAGCCGCAAUCCAUAUCAUAAUGACCUCAAUAAUUACAAUCGCAGUAAGUAAUUACAACCCAACUAUAAUUAAAAACACUGAAUUAAACUAUUCAAAUGCAAGUGAUAUAGAAUCCCAAAUAGGGAAAGAAGAAAUGAAAACCCAAAUGAUCAAGGUGUUAAUAAAUUAAGCUUCGUGACUAUUAUAAACAUAUUUAGAAUUAUAUUUAUUGUGGAUACAUAAAAAUAGUUUGCUAAUUUUUGUGUAAAAGUAAUUGAUAAGUAAUUCAAAAAUGAAAGAUUUAAUUGAGAAAUAAGAAUGUAUUAAAUCUUACAGUAUUUCAUAUGAUAAGUCAGUUUGUUGAAAUAUAAUUAUAUUUUCCUACAAAUUCUCCUCCAUUGUAUAAAAAAAUUGUCCAACAAUUGUCAAGCUUUAAUUUCAAUAAUUACAAUAGGUUAGUUAAUUAUAUAGUUCGAACGAACGUAAAGAUAUUCUAUUAUAAAAAAAGAACUAUUCUAUUAUAUAUAUAAUUGAUUAACUUUACGAUAAAAAAGGUAAGAAUCGUUGUUAUUGUGAGAAAUCAAAACAAUUAAUAUAAAUUAUUGUAUCUUAUUUGAAUGAAAAAGAUUAAAAGAAAUUGUCGUAUAACUAAUAACUAGUUUUUAAUCUUAAUCAUUCAUAUUACACUCUUAGUUUAAAACUAUUUGACAUACAUAUUUAAUAAUUGAAUAUUAUUAUCAAUGAAAUAUAACUGAACAAGGAAUGUGAUAGUAACCCAUAUAAAGAAGGCCCAACUCGGCCCAAAAGAAAUAGGCAAAACACUAAAUGGCUUGCAGAUUAUGUUGAAGAAAUUUAAUUAUAUUUUCAGUUGUUUAUUUUCAAUUAAAAUAUUGGGUCUAGUAUGUAAGCCCAAUGUAGGAUGGAAACAUUAAAAACUACUUGAAAGGGUAUAUGUAGCCAGCUGGCUGCUGGAGGAAGAAAUGAAGUAUUAUUCAGUAUAUUUUCUUGUUGAUUAGCUAGUUAAUUUCCUCGCUUUUCUAAUUAUCUAACUCUUAGAAAGUUCCCUAACAUUUUGGUGCUUUCAUUCUUGCCUCAUGCCUCCUAAAAACUCCAAAGACAUAAAUGAAUCUCUUCUGCAAAUAUUUGUAGAAAAACUGCAAGAGAACAAGGAUCAGCAGGAUACAAGACAUGAAGCCAUUGCUGAAUCUCUCAGAUCUAUCAUAGAAAAGCUUGUAGGUAUUUCUUUGGUCCCACUUCAAUCACCUGACCCACACAAUCAACCAUCUUCCUCCCACAUUACACACUCAAACCCUCAACUCCAAAACCAAUCAUCACCAGCCCCACCAUCGCCCCCAUUUUACACACCCUCUCCAGCCCCUCCCUUCUUCUCACCUCAUUCCACAUAUUCUAAACCAACAUUCAACCCCACCUUCCUUUCCCCCCAACAACCACGUCCCCCAAAGUUACAAUUAAUCCCCUAUGAUGGAUCUGAGCUUCUAGAUUGGUUGUUUCAGGCAGAAUAAUUUUUUCAACUGUAUCAGGUUCCAUCUGAACAGCGUAUGCAUCUUAUUUCAUUUUAUAUGAAGGGAGAAGCAUUAAGUUGUUUCAAAUAGGUAUUCUUAAAUGCAACUAUUAGCGACUGGGAAAGUUUUACCAGAUCCUUGGAGAUUUGUUUUGGACCAUCAUGCUAUGAUAAUCACCAGGCGAAAUUAUUCAAGCUUCGUCAAACUGGUUCAGUGGCAGAAUACCAGAAGUAGUUUGAGAAGAUCUGUAAUAGAAUUUGGGGUCUUUCUCCAGAUGUAAUUUUAAAUUAUUUUUUGUCUAGACUAUUACCAUAAAUAAGGAGAGAACUGGCUAUUUUGUGGCCCACUAAUAUUGUUGAAGCAUUAGGCCUAGCCAAAUUGGUUGAAUAAAAAAUUAAAGACUCAAAAUUCUCUUUCCCUAAACAUCCUCGUUAUACACAACCAAACACUUCCACACCCCAAAUACCACAAGUUAACCCAAAACAACCUCAAAUUCCCAUACGUCGUCUCACAACGGCUCAAAUGCAGGAAAGACGGGCCCAAGGCCUCUGCUAUAAUUGCGAUGAAAAAUUUCAUGCAGGACAUAAGUGCCAACGUUUUCUACUACACUUGGAGGAUGAUUUCCUUAUGGAAGCAGAGACUUAUCCACCUAACCUUGAAAAUAUGGAUGUUGAACCCCAAGACACCCAAGAUGAGCUAAUUCAUUUUCAACUCUCUGAACAAGCCUUAGAGGGACAACCCUCUCCAAAAACACUAAGGUUUCGGGGCUUUAUAGAAAGACAUCCAAUGACGGUUUUGGUAGACAUUGGAAGCUCACAUAAUGUCAUUCAACCAAGGUUGGUACAUUACUUACAACUACAAGUUUCCCCAACGCCACAAUUUCCGGUCAUGGUGGGAAAUGGUGCACACAUUUAUUGUACGAGGUUAUGUUCAAACACUUCGAUGAUGCUGCAAAAUCAAUUAUUCCAUAUCCCUGUCUAUUUACUUCUCAUCAAAGGAGCGGACGUUGUCCUAGGGAUUGAGUGGUCGCGUACACUUGGGUCAGUAACCUCUGAUUUUGAUAUUCCUUCCAUGUCAUUUAAGGUAGGUGACAACACUAUCACACUCCAAGGGGAUACUACUCAUUCCUAUGCACCUUCCACCAACUAAAUCGCCUAAUCCACAUUGAUGACAUAGUCUCCUUACACACAAUCACCUUCUUAACCCUUACACCCACAUGCCCAUCCCAAACACCUAGUCAACCAGAUAUACAUCCAGAUAUCACCAACCUUCUCUCUAACUUCAAACCUUUAUUCCAACACCAACAAGGCCUACCCCCAACUACACCACAUGACCAUCAUAUUACACUUCUCCCAAACACAACCCCAAAAAAUAUCAAACCAUACAGAUACUCACACUACCAAAAGGAGGCAAUGACCACUAUGAUUCAAGAGAUGUUAAAAGAGGGCAUAAUAACUCCGAGAACUAGCCCUUUCUUUUCCCCAGUUCUACUUGUUAAAAAAAAGAUGGUACUUGGCGAUUCUGUGUGGAUUAUAGGGUACUGAAUGCCUUGACAGUUCAGGAUCGUUUCCCAAUCCCAAUCAUUGAGGAGUUGUUAGAUGAACGUGGAGUUGCCAUUGUUUUUUCAAAGAUUGAUUUGUGAUCUGGAUACCAUCAGAUCCAUGUGCAUCUGGGGGACACACACAAGACAACUUUUCGAACAUUUGACGGUCAUUAUCAGUUCUUAGUUAUGCCGUUUGGGCUGACUAAUGCGCCAUCUACAUUUCAGGUGGCUAUGAAUGACCUCUUAAGGCCACAUCUACGACGAUUUGUAUUGGUAUUCUUUGAUGAUAUACUUAUCUAUAGUAGUUGUUUAACUGAGCAUUUAUGCAUUUGUGAGUCAUUUUGGACCUAUUGGUUUCUAAUCAGUUUUAUGCCAAACUUUCUAAGUGCUCUUUUGGUGUAUCAUCUAUUGCUUAUCUCAGCCACAUAAUUUCAACAGGCGGGGUCAAACCAAACCCCGACAAAAUACAAGCAAUGGUUGAUUGGCCACAACCCCGUUCUCUCACGGUCCUAAGGGGUUUCCUGGGCCUCACGGGAUUCUAUCGAAAGUUUGUUCAACAUUAUGCAUCUCUCGCCGUUCCCCUCACAGAUUUAUUAAAGUUACAUCGAUUUACAUGGUACUCAGAGGCACAUUCUGCCUUUACAGUUCUAAAAAAAGUUAUGACAACAACACCUGUAUUACAACUUUCGGAUUUUUCAGAAUCAUUUGAUGUGGAAACUGAUGCAUCCGCUGUGGCCAUCGGGGUUGUCCACUCUUAGAAGGGUCAUCCACUUGCUUACUUCAGUAAGAAAAUAUCCACUAGGAUGCAACAUCUUCUGCCUAAGUCCGAGAAAUGUUUGCAGUGACCGAAUCUGUUAAGAAGUGGAGACAAUAUUUGUUGGGCAAACAAUUUACCAUCUAUACUGAUCAGCAAAGUUUGAAACACUUGAUGACUCAAGGGUUCCAAACCCCUGAGCAACAAAAAUGGGCAAGCAAACUAAUUGGCUUUCAAUAUAUCAUCAAAUAUAGGACUGGUACCUCGAAUAGGGUUGUAGAUGGCUUAUCUCGAUGUUACACUGAUGAGGUUUCCAUCCUGGCAUCAUUGUCUUCACCAUUUCCUCAAAUAAUUGAUAGACUAUGUUAGUUAUACUCCUCAACAGAGGGUCAUACAUUUAUAAAAAAAUGGAAUCACAUGGAUCUUGGCACAAAUAUUACUAAUUAUCAUAAGGGUUAUUACUCUACAAGGGACACAUAUUUAUACCUGGGUUGGAAAACUUGCGUCUCUCCUUGAUCCGUGAGUACCAUUCAACACCAGCAGCUGGACAUUCCGGAUGGAAGGCGACCUUAGCCCGAAUCUCAGCCUCUUGUUCUUGGCCCGACAUUGCAAAACAAGUCAAGACUUUUGUCUGCCGGUGUACUAUCUUCUAAACCAACAAGUACCUGCCACAAAAACCACAAGGACUGUUACUACCACUUCCAAUCCUGGAAAAAGUAUGGGAAGAUCUAUCAAUGGAUUUUGUGACCCACUUACCAGCAUCUCAUGGACAUACAAUGAUUUGGGUCAUUGUGAAUCGACUCACCAAAUACGCACAUUUCAUAGCUCUUCCAACAAAAUUUUCAGCAGAGACCCUAGCCAAUUGCUUUCUCACCGAGAUCUGUCGACUACAUGGGAUACCCAAGUCUAUUGUUUCUGUCCACGACAAGAUCUUCAUCAGUGCCUUUUGGAAAGAGCUUUCCAAGCUGUUGGGAACCACCCUUUGCUACAACAGUGUACCAUCCUCAAUCAGAUGGACAAACAAAAGUCGUAAAUAGAACUUUACAAACUUACCUUUGCUGUCUCACAAGCACACAACCAAAAAAGUGGUUCACUUGCCUCCCUCUAGCUGAGUACUGGUACAACACAAGUCAUCCUUCCUCCUUACAAGUUUCUCCUUUUGAAGCAUUGUAUGGUCGUGUUCCACCGAGCCUCAAGGACUUUUUACCAGGCAGAGCAUCUAAAAGCCAAAUACAUGAUAUCCUGCACACAAGGGCAGAGUUAUUAUGUAGUGUUAAGCAACAUCUUAAACAUGCACAACAACGAAUGAAAAUACAGGCUGAUACAAAGAGAAUGGAUAUUACCUUCAUGCCAGAAGAUUGGGUGCUAUUGAGGUUGCAACACUACCAUCAUCAGUCAAUAUUCCGACAACCGUCCAAGAAGGUAUUUCAGUCCCUUCAAGAUUCUAAAAAGGAUUGGCCAAGUUGCAUAUGAACUAGCUUUACCAGAACACUCCAGGAUCCAUCCCGUUUUUCACGUCUCGGUUUUACGAUGUUUCCAUGGGGAACCAAAUGGUGAGAUCAUUGAGUUACCGCUGGAAUCGGUGCGUCGCGAGGACAGUUUGCCUCGAGAGACCAUGCCACCUUCACUUGGGGACGAGAACACCCUAGAAACUCCAAAAUAAGGUUCAGAGUAUUCGGUGCGGCGAUUAAAGGAGCAAAAACCACCACUUGGAAAUGAGGACAAAUAACCACUUGGAGGAGAGGAUGGGUAUUCGGUGAUGGUCGAUGAAAAAGAAAAACCAUCAAGGGAGAAGGGAGAGGAACCAUGGUGCAAAGAAGAAGAUGAAAUAAAGAUGAGAAAUUUUUUGAUAUGAAGGGAGAGAAGAAAAAAAAUGAGUCGUGGAAUCCAUGGAGUAAAAAAGUAAAUGGCUUGAAUGAAAGUAAGUGGGAUAUUAACACUUUUCCCAACUCCCUAAGAGAAGUACAUUUUGAUUCCCAUGUGCCUUCAUCUCCACCUUUGGAUUUGAUGGAAUUCUCUAGACCUUUAGAUGGCUCUCUACCCCCUGCACUAAUUGAGUCCACUCAGUUAACUGGCACAAUUAAUGCCUCGAGCAGUGCAGCUAAACGUGUUUUCGUUACCAAUACAUCUGCACACUUCACUCAAAAUUCAAAAUUCAAAUCUUUUCAUAUCUCACCAUCAAUUAAUGAAGACAUUAAUUCCUGAUCUAGAUUAAUCUCACUGUCCAACCCUCUCCAUUCCACAAGUAACACGUGGACAAUUGGUUCUCAAAACCUUGUGGACAAGGUUUCUCUUGAAGACAUGGGCAAUGAUAGCAACCCAGAUAAAGAAGGCCUAACUCGGCCCAAAAGAAAAAGGCAAAAAGCUAAAUGGCUUGCAGAUUAUGUUGAGGAAAUUUAAUUGUAUUUUCAGUUGUUUAUUUUCAAUUAAAAUAUUGGGUCCAGUAUGUAAACCCAAUAUAGGAUGGAAUCCCUAAAAACUACUUGAAAGGGUAUAUGUAGUCAGCUGGCUACUGAAGGAAGAAAUGAAGUAUUAUUCAGUAUAUUUUCUUGUUGAUUAACUAGUUAAUUUCCUUGAUAUUCUAAUUAUCUAACUUCUAGAAAAUUCCAUAACAGAAUGAUAGAAAAAAAAAGGUUGAAGAUGAGAAUAUAGUAUCACUUUAUAUAUUAUGUUAAGUAUAUAUAUGCACCGAAAAAAAGUAUACAUAUACACGUCUGCGAAGUUAGGGUUUGCUUACUUUUUGAAUGGCUGUCACAAAUCACAACCAAUCGGGCAUAGAAUUCGAGCAACCCAAAAGUUGCCUAUAAUUUUUCACAGCAAAGAUAAUUGCAACCUUUCUCUUUUUCGCAAUAUCACUUGACUUUCUAUCUUAAUUUUUUUUUGAUAUUUUUUAUUAGGAUGUAUGAAAAAUGAUAUAUCCUCCUACAAUUUUUUUUUAUCUUUCAUACACCAUAAGAAAGAUAGUAUAUGUUACAAAGUGAUAUUUUUUUAUUAAUGUUUGGUUUGCAAGUGAUGUUGGAACAUGGUUUGUUGAAAACCAUUAGUGGCAAGAGAAUUGACACAUGGUAGUCAGUAUUGUGGGAAGAGAAUUGGCACGGGUAGCCAUAUGGUGGGUAAUUUCGAGAAUUGGCAUUGGUAGUCAUAUUGUGGUGGGUGUAUUCGAGAUUGGUUCUUACAAUGCAGUAAGAAUUUGAUAACAGAGAUUUGGACUGUUUUAUCCUGGAGACGGCGUGGUUGAUAGUAUGCUUGCACAUUUUGGGCAGUGCCACGAAACGUCUUAAAGAGAGCGACCUGGCCGUGACUCAUACAGUAAGUAUUAUUUCAUGUCAUUUAGAAUUGCUGCAUUUAGAAUUGUUGCAAGCUACAAUAACAAGUGAUAUACGUAAUUUUCUUAUUGUAUAGAGGGGUUUGUUUGAAAUUUUUUAGGAAUUAUUUUUUUCAGUCUAAAGAUUUAUUUUUUUCACCUUUUCAUAAUUUUUAGUCUAAAGUUUCUGCCUUGUUGCUCUAAUUGUCUUUGAACGCCUUUUUCAUUGCACAUACUAAACUUAUAUUUUUACUCUCCUGUAUUUUAAGUGUCCUUUUAAAAGAAUACAUGAGAUCUUAGCUUGAUCUAAUAAAAAAACAUUAAAUAUAUACCAGUCUUAAGUGAAAUGGACUAAUAUAUUUUAAUAAAAUAAUUUGCAUCUAAAUACUCCGAAAAAUAAACCCCCAUAAUGACUAAAUUAUUUUAAUAAAUUAUUCCAAUCAAUUUAAAAAUCUCAAUUUGGUGUUCAAUAUUAAAACCUAAUAUAACCCCUCAACAUGGUUACUUCAUCUUUAAUAUAACUUUAGAUUGAGCCUUAUAUAGAAAGAAAAUUCUAACUAAAAAAAUAAUAUGAGAAUAUAUAAUAUGAAUAUUUCUAACUCCAAUUCAACCCUGGAUAUAUGUGUGUAGCAUUACUAAAGAAAGCAUCCAACAAUUAAGGUUUGUUGUGAUUUUGAAUUACUUUACAUUACCUUUUUUCGAGCUUUAAAAUCUCUCUCACUCAUUUUAAAAAUAACAAAAAUAUCAAAAUUCACAUUAAAAAUGGAAUGUUGCAAAUUAUUAUUUUUAGAUUUUCCAUACAGACUAUUUUUCUACAUUAAGUAUGGACACCAAUUAUUGUCCUUUUAUUUUUUUUUUGGUAUUUUCAGAAGGGUAUAUAUAUUAAAGAUAUGAAGUAAGAGGUAAAUACAAUUUUACUAAUUAAUUAAGCAAAUCGCACUCAUGAAACAUACACUACAUUAGAAUCGUAAAACAAUGGUGUUUAAAAUUAUUAUUCUGUAGUACUUUUGGACAUUGUUUAUGUUAGCGCAAAAAAAUUGUGAAUUCGGACAUCGUGAAAGUAGACACAUAUUAACGACCCCUUAAAUGUUACAAGCGUGAAGGAUAGGAGUUUGUAGGGAAAUAAGAAACCACAAUUGGUGCUCCCUUUGAUUCUGAUUUGCUCUUUGGUUUCUCUGAAGAAAUAGAUUUCAAUUGAGACCCUUCAGCAUGAUCAGAAACUUGUGCUGAUGAGGAUGUAGAGGGAGCAAAGCAAUUUAAGAAAACUGAAACUAAAGCCAUUUAGUUUCUCAAUUACUUUACUUUUUUUACUAUUAGUGCGUAGUUUCAGCUAAAGUGUAUGUGGUAGUUGUAAUUCCUGUUUCUAACGAAGCAAAAAGUGAUUUGAACAAGUUAAAGACAAUGAAAACUAAGGGCAAAAUAGUGGGGUGCAAUCUAAAAUUGAAUUGGAUAUUUUUAUAAUGGAUCGUGUGGUUAUAGAAUGGAACUGUGGCAAACUUGAGUAUUUAUAGGAGCCUAUGGUUGUAUGAAAAAAGAAAGGUAAAAAGAGAAGUUGCCUUAUUAGUCAUUUUGCUUAGGGAGCAAGGAGAAAAUGGGACCACAUAACAUACAUGCAUAUAUAUGAAAAAUCUAAGGUCUUCAUGGCUGCUUUUGACUAUGUUUAAUAUUCUUGUGAUCUUUACUAUGUUGUCAUGUUCUUAGCUAAAGUUACCACCUUGGAACUUUCCUAAGUUGAGAAGAACUUGUCAUUUAGGUGCUCUUGGAUUAUAAUGGCCUUAUGAGUGAUCAAACCACGUGUCCUUUAAGAAAAUAUGUGAAACUACUUAUGAAUAUUCACUUCAGGUGGACAUAUAGUAUCACUAUAAUUGGGUUUCUUGAAGAUAAUAUUUUGUUUCAAAAAAUUUGCUGCCACAUGCAUAAACUAUUUUAUUGACCUUACAUCUUUGAAGGAUUAAUAUCAAAUGAUUGAUUAAGAAAUACUUUUAAUAGAGAACUAGAUGUAUUUUUUUAUUCUCAUUGUUUAGAAAAUAUAAAAUUAAUAUAUAUUUAAUUCAUAUUAUAAUUUUCUCACCAAUAAAAAACAAGUCUUACUUAAGACAGGUGAUGCAGCUCCCUUUGGAUGGGAAUAUAUAAAAAAUUGGGGGUAAUCAUGAUUGGUUUGUAUCAGUUUUUAUCCAAACAAAAUCAUUAAGUCCAAAUAUGUAAUUAACAUAUGGUUCGAUUUAAUUUAUUUACAUUAAGAUAUAUGAUCCAAUCUGAUCCAUAUAUUAUAUGUGGUUUAUGAUUUAGUUUGGAUCUAUUUUUAAUACAAGAUUGAUAUUACACAUACAUUUUAAAACUCAUAAAAAUGACUAACAUAUUAAAUAUAAUACACUUAAAAUAUUAAGGUAAUUUAGAAAGAAAAAACAAAGAACAAAAAGCAGCAGCAAAAAAAAUAUUCAACAACAAUAGAACAACAACAAAAAAAGUGUUCAGCAACAGCAAAAAAGUGUUAAUAAUGGCAAAAAAAUAAUAUUCAUAACAUUGAUAUACUGGUGUAAGACCCUGCUAGAUCACCAGAAUAACCAAAAGGUUAAGAGUUCGAUUCUUAGAAAUGACACUUAUUAAAGGGACAACCACACACCCUGAAAGAAAUUAGUCCUUACAAAAAAGGUAAAUAAUACCCUUGGUAAUACAAAAAACAUCAAAACAUCAACAAAAUAUAACAAGUUUUAUACAAUUAAAGUAUUAAACAUAAAGUUUUACCAUAUUACUUCAGUCCAGUUUGGAUCAAUCUAGAUCAUAGAGUUGGAACAAAAACCCGAAUUAAAUCAAUUGAUUUAAAUAAUAUAUCCAACACAAUCAAAUGGACUUGAUAUUUGCAGUUUUGGAUCGAUCUUCAAUUUUAUUUUUAAAUUGGUUUGGAUUUUAACACCCUACAAAAUUAGUCAUGGGAAAAUGAGUGCCUAAAUUAGGUUUUCCUAACAAUAGUAAUUCUUCAAUAAUUUUGUCCCACUCAAACCAAGCAGCACACAACUUAAAUAGGGUCUACGCAAAUUCGGUGGAAACAAACAUCCUAACCCUUCAGUCCAUGACCAAAGUUUAAUUUUAUUUAUUACUGAAAUAAAUUCGACACGCCCAUUUUCAAGCAUAAACGAUUUUGCAUUUAUUUAGUCCAUAACUUUAAAUGAGUAAAAUCCUUGCAACAAAACUAGCAUAAGAAAGACCAUACGAUCAAAUAAACAAAAGUACUUACAUUUGAAUAUAUUCUUUGUUUGUCGAACAUUAUCUUAUAUAUUCUUUGUUUCAGCUCAACACGUUCACUAGUGUCAUUAUUUUAAAAAAGAAGGAUGGAACUUUGUAUUUAAAAUUAUAGAGGAAUGAACAGUUAUAUAUUUACUGAGUUUGAGUAGUUGUUUUACAAAGAUAUUUAUACAGCAAAAGUAAAAAUAACUGCAAGGGAGAGGAGGCCUAAAUACACGGUACUCACUCAACUACAUAGAAAGGAGUAGGAAAGAAAUAGUCAAAGAGUGCCUAGAAUUUAGGAAUGAAUAUCUAUAGUUGUUAGCCCCCGACAAGUGCAAGAUCGGGACAAACUUGAAGCUUGGAACAAAGUAGAGCAAGGCAAUCUUUAGUCAACGGCUUGGUGAAGAGAUCAGCCAAUUGGUCCACAGAUGAUACAUGGCAAAUUUUUAGAGUGCCAUUUUCGACUUGUUCAUGAAUGAAAUGGAAAUCCAAGGCAAUGUGCUUCAACCUGGUACUUAUGACUGGAUUCUUGCUCAUGAAAAUUGCCCCCACAUUGUCACAUAACAACAAAGGAGGCUGAUGAAAUAGAGCAUGAAGAUCAGUAAUAAGUUGUUUGAUCCACAACAGAUCAACAUAGGUGUAGGCAAGUGAACGAUAUUCUACUUCUGUACUAGAGCGAGCUACAACGCGUUGUUUUCGAGAAGGCCAACUGAUAAGAUUGGAACCAUGGAAAAUGGCAUAACCAUACUAAGACUUGUUGUCAUCUUUGUCAGAAAUCCAACCUGCAUCAGAGUAAGCAAGAAGGGAUGUGGCCUUUGUAGGAGUAAAAUGAAGGCAGUAAUGUAAAUUGCCUUUUAAAUACCACAUAAUUCUUUUGGUGGCUUGCCAAUGGAGAGUAGUUGGUGAGUUCAUAAACUGACAGACUUGGUUCACUGCAUAGGCAAUGUCUGGACGGGUGAUGGUAACAUAUUGAAGAGAACCCACAAUCUGGAAAAAGAGUGUUGGAUCAUGGAAGGGAUCCCCUUGACAAGUGAGCCUGGAAUUAGGGUCAGCGGGUGUGGAAAUGGCAGAGGCUUCAGUCAUUUUGUUACGGCAAAGAACAUCCUGAAUGUAGUGUUGUUGUGAGAGUGUGUUACCCCGUAGAAGACAUGCUGAUUUGAAAGCCCAAGAAAUAAUGUAAAUUGCCUAGAUCUUUGAGUGCAAACACCUUAUGUAAUUGAGUAGUGAAGUGCUGAAUGUGAGAUGCAUUGGUAUCUGUUAUGAUUAAAUCCUCCACAUAUAUAAGAAUGUAAAUGAUGGAGAUGGAAGAGAUGUGAACAAACAAGGAGUUGUCUGACUGACAGGUUCGAAAUCCAUGAGUAACAAGAUAAUGCCAAGGCUAGGAUAACUCUUAUGAGUAACAAUUGGAGUUUGUAGACUUUAGAUUUAUCAGUAACAUGAUGGCUUUAAGGGAUUUUCAUAUACACUUGUUCAAGCAAGUCUCCAUGAAGAAAAGUUGUGUUGACAUUUAAUUGGUGAAGGUGCCAAUUCUUAUUGGAUGCCAAGGCUAGGAUAACUCUUAUGGUCGUCAUUUUUAUAACAGGACUAAAGGUAUCUAGGUGGUCUAUUCCUGCAGUUUGAGUGUAUCCCUUACCCACUAAUCUGGCCUUAUAUCUAUUUAUGGUUCCAUCAAGAUUGUGUUUGACCUUGAAAAUCAAUUUACAUCAUAUGGCUCUCUUCCAUUUAGGGAGAUUAGUGACAAUCUAGGUUUCAUUUUUGUUUAAGGCUUCUAAUUCUUCUCUUAUGGCAUCAAUCCAAUGUUGAUGUUGAACAGCUUGAUUGAAGUCAUUAGGUUCACUAAUAGAGGAAAGAUUAAGGACAAAUCUUCUAUAUUGAUUGGAAUGGUUCUUAUAGGAUAGAAUAGAAGACAAGGGGUAUUUGGCAUGAGUAGGGUCAUUAGAGGUAAGAGAACUCAUCAAAGUGCAAUGGUUUGAUUAGGCUGAAUAAUAGGAUUAGUAUUCUUAGAUUGAUGCAUCUGAGAAUUGAGGACAUUAUCAUGGAUAUGGUGAUCAUGAUAAUGAUCUCCUUGGUUAAAGGAGUCAGUAUGGAAAGAUCUAGUGUCCCUGUCCUGACCAGGUUCAUCAUGCUUAGAGAAGGGGUAUACUUCUUCAUAGAACAUUACAUUUCUAGAGAUAAAAGUUUCCCUUGUUCCUAAGUUAUAAAGGACAUAUCAAUUAAGCCCUUGUUUUAAGCCUAAGAAUAUACACUUGCUAGCUCUAGAGUCAAAUUUUCUUAUGUUGUUCAUAAUAGUGGAAGCAUAACACAAACAUCCAAAGACUUUCAAAUUAAGCAUAUUAGGAUUAUGGUUAAAAAGAACCUGGUAAGGAGACUUGUCUUUCAGGACAUUGGAAGGUUGCCUAUUUAUCAAGAACAUUGCAUGAGCACCUGCAAAAUUCCAGAAACAUUUUGGCAUGGAAGAUUGGAACAUGAUGGCUCUUGCAACACCUAUAAUAUGCUGAUGUUUUCUAUCCACAACACCAUUCUGUUGUGGAGUUUUAACACAGCUAGUCUGAUGAAGGAUGUAUUUUGAACUAUAAAACCCAUUCAUUUUAAAUUGUACUCCAUUAUCAUAUUAAAUACAUUUUAAAGUAAUGCCAAAUUGAGUUUCUACAAGAGUGACAAAAUAUUUUAUGUGAGUGAUAGAUUCAGAUUUGUUUUUAAUGAAGAACAACCAUGUGUGUCUAAAUUUAUCAUCAACUAUAGUAAGAAAUAUCUAUGGCCUAAUAUAGAUGGAAUGAAAAUAGGAUCCCAAAUAUCAACAUUAAUAAUGUAAAAAAUAAACCCAAAUAUGCUAGAACAAUUAUGGAAACUCAGUUUCUUUUGUUUGGUAAAGUGGCCUGCAUCACAUGGUCUAUUGAUAGAAUCACAUUAUAUGAAAUUGAAAUCUUUGUUAAGAGCAGAUAUCUUAGCGUUGGAAGGUUGUCCAAUUCUCCUAUGUCAUACAUCAUUAUUCAUAGUAUUCACAACAUUUAUACGUUGAUUAGGUAGAGAUGACAAAUGUGAUAUGUUGCUCCUGUAUCAAUGAUCCAAUCUUGAAUUUUUCAAACUCCUAGACAAGUUGAGAAUGUUACUUGCAAGGUAUUGCUUACCUGUCUCAGCAAGGGAAACAAUAUUAAUUUUUCCAUUGGACUGAUGGGAAGGUCUUUCAGCAUGGCCAAUAUGGCUUUCUAUUGAACAGGAGUAAAGCCAAUGACGUUUUCUUCUUCGCAGGUCCAUUAGCUAUGUCUUUAUCACCAGAACUAUUUACACUAUUUACAUUGUUGUUGAACUUGUAAUGAGGGGGAACCCACGCUUCUUGUAGCAUACAUCAAUAAUAUUUCCUAUCUUGUUGAAAAAAGUGCAGAUCUUUGAGUUAACCCAUCUUCCUUAGCACUAUUAAAACUGGAGCUCCUAACAGCUCUAAAUUGCUCUUAAACCUCUUCCUCUUGAAGCAGAGUUGUCAGUUGUGCUUGUGAAAAUCUUUGAUUCAUCAAGGGGAAGUGUAAGUUCCAUUUCUUGCUGCAUAAGAAAAGAGAAAGCCUUGUUUAUGCUAGGUAAGGGAUCCAUGAGCAUUAUUUGGGAUCUUACACCUGAAUAUGGUUCAUUGAGUCCUUUUAGAAACCUUAUCAGAUAUUCUUCAUCUCUAUAUGUCUCGCUCAAGCAAGUGCAAGAGGUGAGGGGUCUUAAGUUUUCUAAUUCUUGCCAAAGACUCUUUAAUUGUGUGUAAUUCUUAUAUAUGGUAAAGACUCUGAAAUAUGUUACCUUGGUAAUACCUCUCCUUGAGAUCCUUCCAUAUUUCAUAUGCAUUUUCAAGCCAAAGAACACUCUAACUAAUGGAUCGAUCUAGUGAGUGAUUUAUCCAGGACAUCACCAAGGUGUUGCACCUAUCCCGCGCUCCAAAAUUGGGAUCUUCAAGAUUUGAUUUAGGUAGGAUGUCAUCCAAAAUUGAAAUUUGUUCUUGGUUUUGAGCGCCAUCAGCAUGUCUAUGGACCCAGAGUGAUAAUUGACUCUUGUUAGAUGUUUUUUCACCAAGCUGCAACUUGGGCUCUCAUUAGGAUGAAGAUAAUAUGGACUGAAUAGAUCUGUGAGGGGAUUCAUGAUUGCAAUUGUAUUAGACAUUUAUGAAAAGGAGAGGAAUAGUGAAAGAUAGAAAAGAUUAGGCAGGUAGAGAAAAGAUCAUACAAUAUAUGUGCAACAGAGCAUCAAUUGAUGCUAUGAUACCAUAUUAGAACUCGAUGAUCAUUAUUAGAAUAUCAACACAUAAAGAAAGAGAGAAUUCAAUAACAAGUAUGGUAAAAACAGCAAGAAUGAUAAGUGGAUGAAUAAUUAUUUCAUUAAAUAAUUAUGCCAUAUGAGAGUUACAAUUUGUAAGAAGAGUGUGGUAAAAAAGUACCACCCUUCUAUAAUCAAUUCUAAAUAGAAAAAUUAACAAACUAAUAACCAAAAAAUUACAAAGCCUAACUAAUCUAAUCACAUGAUUCCACGAUUGCUUGACAAAGAAUUAAUCUGUUUACAACAAAAAUAAGUGCUUGACAAAAUGUUCGAAUGAGCUCCACAACCAUGUUCAGGAUAAGGCAAAUAGCAAAUGCAUGAUUAUAUCGUCAAGUAAUAAAAUAUCUAUCCCACGAGGGCUGAAAAAUUCAUUUAAUUAUAACAAUUAAUUUAUACUUAACUCAAAGAAGAAUUAAAAGUGAAUUUAGAAUAAUUGAACAGUUGACAAGAACAAUUAUGAAAAUAUUAAAAAUGAUUGAAAUCUAUUUUAGGAAGAGUUCCCAAGAUAAGGGUUACCACCUUUAGACUCGCAAAUCAUUGUUUUGAUCAUUUUCAUGAACUUUAAGUUGUGAUGGUGAAUUGCUCGUUGAUAUGUGUCAUCCUCUCUCGAGCUCCGACACGUGUACUCAAUUGAAGUGCACAUACUCUCGUGGUAUUGUUAUCAAUAAAAUCAUUUACUUGGAUCUUUAUAUCAAAUCGCUUCGUAACAACCCAAGGUGAAUUCCAUAAACCCUCGAGAAUCCUAAUAUCACUCUUGUGAAUUAGGAUUCUAGUUUGAAUAACUGAACAGUUAAAUAGUUUGAUUCACCUAUCGGUCCUUCCCCAAUGUAUCUAAGAGGUGUAAUUUGUUGGCCAGGAAACUUACACGAAUAAAAUUCAGUUUAAUGAUUCAAAUCACGAUACUCAAUAAAGUAGAAGUAAGAACAAGUGUUUAUUAAAUGUAAAAGGGCAUAGCCCCAAUCCUAGAAACAUAAGGAAUUACUCACUCAUGAUGGAGAAGAGAAUACCAAAUUCUAAAUUAGAGAAUUGUAAUGUAAAGCGUCUUCAAUCCUUGAGGGGAACCCUCAUUUAUCCUAAUUACAAAAUAUUGGGCUAAGUCCAACAAAACAAAUCUAAAAAAUAGGAAUAGAAUAUAACAUUCACGACCGUGGGUGUAUGUGGUGCCUUCACUUCAAAUUCCUUCUCUUCUAUCCAAACUCUAAGCCGACUUAUUUUGGCCAUUCAAUUGGUCUUUGCAUAGUCUUAACAUCGAAUUUCAUCUUCUUACACUCAAUCUCUACUCUUUUUGACUUCAAUCUAUUCAAACUGCACAACAUAGCCAAAAACACUCGCUCAACCCGAACAAAGAGAAAUAAAAUAUAAAAACAAUCCUAAAGCCCUAAUUAUGUCCUAAAAUACAAGUUAAAUGCAAUACAAAUGUAGCAUAAUUUCAGACUCAUCAAAUCUCCUCAAGCUUAUCUCUUGCUUGUCCUCAAGCAAGUAUUAUGUCUAACUUUCACAAUCAUGUAUGAAUGAUGAUAUAGAAACCAUGACCCAAAAUAAAAACAAUCUCAUGUUAGUUUUGAAACAAUCCAGACAUCAAGACAAGACAAUCAUAAACAAAUUUAAUUCAAGCUAAGUCCUUGAGUCAUAACAAUUGUAUGAUUUAGGGUCACUUUUCUUUCAUCACUCUCAUGUGUUUAAAGGUUAUAGUAUUUCGCUCAAAUUUUCAUGAAAGUAAAUUACCAUAGGCUUGAUUAUAGACCAAAUCGUCACUAACUUUAUUUGAAUGCUUGCAAAAAUCAAGAGGUCUUUAAAUGAUUAUAAUGAUGCAAAUAUGAAUGAUUUAAGGUGGGAUAAACAAUGAAAGGGUACUUCAAAAAACUUACAAAUGUUUCCCAAAAUACUUAGAAUUUUUAGACAUCUGAUUGAAACAUUGAAAUUCUCUUAAUAGGCCUUACUUUAUCAUAUUAUUGUUUUUCAAUCAACCCUUCUUUUUAAAAUAUACCUUUUCAAUCAUUUCUCCUUUAAUAUACUUUGUAUUAUUUUUUUUCAUUUUUUUAUUCAUUGUUAUUAUUAUUUUCUAAAAGAAAAAUGAUGAUUUUUUCCUUUUCACAUUUUUAUGGUUUUUUUCACUAUACAUGGCCUUUGUAUCUUUCUCAUUGCUUCAACCAAACAUCACAAAUUACCACAAACCCUCAUUUGAGUAGAUAUGAAAAAUCAUUAAAGUUCAGUAUAUACUUUUAUCCUUAGAGUUCAGUAAAGUUCAAGACAAAUAGAGUCUAAGUCUUCAAUAUAUACUUUUAUCCUUUACACUCUAGUAUGUUUAGUGAACAAUGUUCAAGUGGAAAAUAAAUUUAUUUUGAAAUGAAAUUGGAAAACUCUUAGACAAUAUAAGCAAUUUUCAAAAUGCUACGUAACAAGUUACUUGACCUGAGUAACAAGUUACUAGAACUAGGUAACAUGUUACUUCAACUAUGCAAUAGUGAGUAACAGGUUAUAGAGACUGUGUAAAAGGUUACAUAAUUGAGUAAAAAGUUAACCAGCAAAUUUAACAUAGUGUAACUGAUUAUUCGUCAAACAGAGAGUUUGGGUCAAUUACAUUACGAUGUAACCGAUUACACAAAGGUGCUAAUAUAACCAUAAUUUCAAAUCCAAAUUGAACAAAUUUCAUCCAAAUUCAAUGAGUUUUUUCCAAUCGUGUCCUAACUUCGUGGAAGAGUAAAUUGGCUUAGUGAAAGCAUAUUUAAAGACAUUAAAAUACUCAUUUCGAAAUGAUUGAGAUACACGAAAUUUUCACAUAGAAUUUAUGCAACUUUUUAUUCUAAACUUUCACUUUUUCUAAAGUUGCUUUAAUUGGAAGUUCUAAAGUUUUUAAAACUUAAACACUUCCAAGAGCAAUUGUAUAAUAAGUAUAUUGAGAGCAAAAUGAUUGAAUGUUAUAGAAUUGUUAUUUUAUCUUGUAAAUGCAUUCUUGCCCUAGAAUUUAUUCUUCAAAUCUUGUUGAAAAACAUGUCAUCACAAGAGUGUGGUGAGAAGGGGAAAGAGAGUAGUUAGAAAGGUUGUUUCCCAAGGUUGUAAUGUAUUUCUGAGUGAGCAAGGUGCAAGGAGUCUCGGAAAUAUCUAAGAAAGAAAUCUCUUGUGCUGCAAGAAUACUGGACGUAGCUUACAGUAGACAAGAAGGUGAACCAAUACAAAUAUCGAUGUUUUAUCUCUCUUCUCUCUACUAUUUCUAUUUCUUUUUGAAGUUUUAUUUGAUAAUCAUUCUACAACAUUUCCGCUGCAUCACACUCUGAUAUUUUCAACAGAAAAAUUGACUAUUACCCCCAACAAUUAAUUUACUCACUCUUCUUACUUGUCAUCUAAUACUUACAAAAAUAUAUUUUUUACAUGCAUUUCAUUUCUCUUCACCACUUUUCUACAUAUUGAACAAUCGAUUAAGUUAAAAUGUUAUUAUUUGUAUAUUUUCAUUCUAGGAAAUAGAAUUAGAAAAAAUUAACUUUAUCCAUAUUCACUAAAAUGCAUAUCAUGGUGCAAUGUAUACAUGAUCUUCAUCUUCAUAGUCUUGAUUGAUAUUUAAUUACUUAUUUUUUAAAAUUACAUUAGGUUACAGUUUAUCGUGAUAUUUUCUAAAUAUGAUUACAUUAUUUUUACCUGCUUAGUUAUAAUUAUUAAAUAAUUUAGAUCCUAAGAAAUAAAUUAUAAUCAACUAGAAAACAAAUUUUCACUCUCCAUAAUAGAAAAAUAAUUAAUAUUAAUUAAUGGUUGAAAUUGAUAUUAUAUUUUCAACCAUAAUUUAGACAAUAUAAUGUAUUAUAAGGGCUCAUAAUUUAAUUUCAAAUAAUUAUUCUAAUUUAAUUUAAUUUCAAAUUGUUAAUUUAAAAUUUAGGCUGAUGUUAUUACGUUACAUUAUUAUAUAUUGCUAAAUUUAUGGUGUCAUUAUGUAUAAUUUAACUUUUUACGUUACUAUUUUAAUUCUUAUUAAAGUCGUGCAAUGUAUGUUACAUUGCUUACUACAUGUAUUAAUUUAAUUUAUUGCAUAUUGUCAUUUAAGAAAUCUUCAGUUUUGUACCAAUUUGAAAAGGAAAAUCAUUUUAAAAAUGAGAAUUAAUUUUUUUAAUUAUCAGUCGAUAUUAUAGAAUAAUUUGAAAUAUAAUAUUAAUUUGAAAAUCUAAACAAUGCUUUACUAGUGCAGAUUCAUAUAUUGUAAUUUUAUGUAAUUAUAUAUAUUAAAUUUCAACUCAUUUCAUAUCAGAUAAAUCUUAAUACAUUUUUUGUAUCCGUUAGUGGCAAAUCCUAUUGUUUUUCAUUCUUGAUUUUUAUAUUUAUUGCAUAAUUAUCUCAUCAUAUAAAUGAGACAUCCAUGUGUAUUUAUUAUUUAUGAUUUUAGAUAUAAUAGUUGUUGUGUUCAUUUUGAGAUAUAAUUGACGAGAUUCAAAAAUUACGUUUGGAGAUGGGUAAUGUUUAUUAAUUUUAUUUAAAAUUAUAUUAUAUUUACACAUAUUUUAUUAAUUGAAUUAAUUUUAUUCACAUAUUUUUUCUCUUUCUUUUUGUCUUCCAUCUCAGGAGUACAUAUUCUUUUCUCACAAUUUAUGUUACUCGAUGUGCUAUCGGUUGUGAUGGUUAGAAAAACAAUUAAUAAUUAAACUUUGAACUUAAAUUUAUUUUUUCAACCAAUCACAACUUAUGAUAUAUAUAGUUAUACAAAUUGUGGGACACCAGAGCUGCUCCCUUCUAUCUCUUACAUUCUCAAAUCUCUUUCUCCAAUUUCAUCAAAUUUCAUACUCAACUUCUUUGAACCUUCUCACGGGUAAGACUUUUUUAACAUUUUUUUCUCCUUUCAGUCACUUAUUUUACUCUUUGUCACAAGUUAACAUUUUGUCUAUCUUCCUUACAUUUAUUUCUCAAUAUUGAAUUUCUUAUAACAUGAAUAACUCAAGACUAAUACAUUUCUAAUAUAUUCUUUCUUUCUUUAGCCACUCGUUUUACUUUGUAACAAGUUAACAUUUUGUCUACAUUCCUUAUGACUUCUCCAUAUUUAAUUUUAAGUUAACAUUUUGUCUACGUUCCUUACGACUUCUCCAUAUUUAAUUUCUCAUAGAUAAUUUUUUCUUCUCACAUAACUUCUCUAUGUUUAAGUUUUCACAAGUAAAUUUUUCAUUCCACACAAUUUCUCAUUGUUAUUGAUAAGGAAAUUCAAAAGAAAAAAUGUUGGCUAUAUUAUUCAAUUUUAUGAUUUUAUAUUAUGUUAAUUUGGCUUCGAUAGAAUUAAUGUGGAAUGCGUUUUUAGAACUAAUUAUGUGUACAUUUUUAUUUUUUAUGAGUAAAUUACAUUGACACCCUUUGAGUUUUAGCAAAAUUACACAAAUCACCCCUCAAUUUUCUACACCUACACAAACCCCCUAAUUUUUAUACUUUUAUUACACGGAUCACCCCUGCAUGAGAAAUAAAUGUAAUCUUUUAAAUAAAAAAUGUGAUAAAUGUAACUAAGUUAAACAAAAAUGAUAUAUUGUGGAGAUAAGUCCAAAUAAUAUGAGUCGAUACCUCAUUAUUAUUUUUGGUUCUUUACGAUAUAAUAUAAGAGCAAUUUAAACAGUAUCUCUUUAGAAUUGUUGAUGCAUUUUGUAAUAAAAAAUAAUAUAGAUACAUCGAUUUGUAUAUUAUUUGGAUUUUUCCUCAUAGUAUACGAUGUUUUGUUUAACUUAAUUGCAUUUAUCACAUUUUUUAUUUAAAAAAUUACACUUAUUUCUCAUGCAGGGGUAAUAAGUAUAAUGAAAGCAUAAAACUAUAAGAGGUUUAUGUAGGUGUAAAAAAGUGAGGGGUUGUUUGUGUAAUUUUACUAAAACUCAGAAGUUAUUACUGUAAUUAACUCUUUUUUAUCUCUUUCCCUCUCCCGGAGUCAUCUACUUUUGCCAUUUGUCAAGCAGUCAUUGACCAAGACCGCAUCCCAAGUGGUAGUUUAAGACUGGAUAGUGAUUUCUCCAAAAAAAAGUAGCCGCCAACAAAGACCUCAUGGUACCAAUUUUCAAGAGAAUGUUUCUAAUGUUGUUCUUGGUCACCAGGAAAUGGACCAACACAGUAACUUCCUUUUUCUUAUAAUAUGUGCUGCCCUUGGUCACCAAGCAAAUGAACCAACAUUGUAACUUCCUUUUCUUAUCAUAUAUGGCAUAUAAAUAAAUCACCUUACCUCAAUUUCAUUCAUUUACAACACUACCCAUUACAUUUAUAUCCUCAAAGCUGUUUUGUUUACUUUGUGAAAUCCAACUAAAAAUUAAAACUAUUAUUGUACCUCACGCAUAUUGCAACUUAGCUAGUGAGAAUCACUUACUCUUGUUGAAGCCAAGGAAGAAAUAAUAUGACUCUGAUCUCAACCUUCUUAAAUUGUUUUCUUCUCUCUAUGCCAUCAUCAACACAUGUAUCUGACUAUGAAAGAUUUCAAUUGAAAGCAUCUUCUACAGAAAAACCAAAUAAUAAGUCAACAGAAUCAAAGGGAGCACCAUUGGUGGUAUCUUAUUUUCCAGUGAACACUUAUCUUUCACGCUUGUAGAUGGUGCUUUUUUUUUUUAUGAACAAAUUGCUAUGUUACUUGAGUCAUAUGUUGAUUUUAUUUUUGUAUGAACAAUUAUUCAACAGAAAUAUAUGAUGUAAAAUUUGGUUGACAAACAACUACACGUGAGUCAAUAUGCUUGAUCAUAUAUAUUCAUAAGUUUUAGCAAUUUUUGUUUAAUUUCAAUGUCAUUUUAAUAAAAUCAUAGUAAAAAGCCGUACUAUUUUCC
rnacentral:lncRNA from 1 species